CUUUGAAAGAAUGAAAAUUAUCACUUCAUAUCAUUGAAGAUCCACACCCUUCCACUCACACGAGAUCACAUCAUCUAACCCGAGAUCUGUCUUCCCCUUUUCCUCACAUAAGUUCAUGUCAUAACGUGUGACAUAUAUCCUAAUAUCUAGCAUGACAAUAAAUUCUCUAGCCGCCCUGCCACUUGAGACGUACCGAAACCCACACCACCAUCUGACAUGAAACAUACAUGUAAGAAAACAAGGCGUGGGUUUUGGGCCUUAUGAGAGGUCAUGCAAGAGCAACAAAGCUUGUGUUGUCAAUCCCCUUUAUCCUCCCUUCUGGAGCGCGGCUCGACGAUCCCAUGAACAUGUUGGGCAACUCACAUGGCUGACCCUGGCAUUUGGUAUAUAAACUUCAAUUAAGAAGUUUUGGUGUUUCUAUAUUUCCUUUUUGAUUUGGUAUUCGACUUAUACUAAAAGAGUAUCCUCUGUACGGUUCACCAAGGAUAUGAAUGCCUUCCACCCAAGGCAUACCACCCUAUUAAAUAGUCAAGCUUCUGCCAACAUUUUCUGCAUCCUGGUGAUGUGGUAGUAAUAACCAAAUGGACAAGCCCCACGGGAGAGAGUCAUUGGUGUGGGUAAGAAAAAUAGGUUUUGUAGAUUAUUGGGCAUUGCCUAUUUGCCUACAGUAUUGAGGUGGAUGGCCCACAAGAGUGAUUGGGUCCUCCCUGAAUUGCACACACGACCACAUGGCACUCACCUUAACCUUAAUUAGGGGAGCGACUCUGUGUCGACUAUUGUGAGACGAAACACGGUGUCGCCUAGAGUGCUUACGAAAUGGGCUAGAACACCAUGCUGGGCGACCAUCGGCCUUAAGAGUUGAUUUUUUAUCUUCUUUUUAUCUUUCUUUUAUAUUUAUUUUAACAGUUGUCCAUUAUAUUUCACAGUUUAUGCUCAUAUAUAUCCACCCCUGUAACUGCUCAACUACCGACCCACUACAAUCACUAGGAAAAUGCUCGUGCAUUUCUACAUGCAACAUGAAUCCAUUAAUCACAAUUUAGCAAAUGCGUACACCAAUAAGUGAAGCAUUGUUUGAUAUCAUAGUUGAAUGUCCAUUAUUCGAUAUCAUAGGUCAAUAUCCAUGAAUUGCGACCAAAUAUAUAUUACUAUGAUGACCAAAGGCAUGGGAAACACAAAAAUCAAGCACAACAAAAUAUUUCCCAACAAAUACUAAGAAAAAAUAUUGCAAAUAACAACUUAAAGAAACCAACAUCGCAACAUAUGAAUUAAACAAAACUAAGAACCCUUUGAACAAACAAGAUUUAACAUGACACUAAUUGGGUAUGCUUAAUUUGCACGGUACAAUGGUUCAAGAGGAAACAAGUUUGUGCUGAGUGAUACAAGUUUGGUCUAUUCAACAAAACACAUGAAAUUUCCUGACUUAGGAAUUUGCAUAAAAAGUAUUCAAAGUCUUUAUCUAGAUAGAUCCAAACAAAUAUACAAGGAUGAUAACUUCCAAAUAAUCUUAUAGAUUGUGAAUCUAGCAACUUGAGUAUCAAUUCUACACUUUCCACAUAGGCAAUACAAUUUUAACUAGUGGGUUAUGCUUGUUUCCUGAAAAAAGAUCAAUCGGGAGGUUGGUGUUAAUUGACCUAGGUGUAGAACCUUCUUUCACUGAACACCAAUCCAAAGCACCAUGCUUGUUGCUUCGAAGAUCACUUAUAGAGCUGGUGCGUCUCGGGACAAUGAGGGACUAGAGGAGUAGGCGACACUAUUUUUCCUAGAGGCGGGCCUACUACUGGUCGGGUCAGACUUUGCUGUGCGACACAAUUCUUGAUCUUGUUUGGAAUUGAAGAGUGGUGCCGAGGCAGGAUGGCGCUCACACAAGGGCUUGAUAAGCUGCAUUAGAGUGUGCUUUGAGGAUCACUUAAAGACUCAGAGCGGCACCGAUUAUAGAGAUCAUGGGGAAUGCUUAGUUUCUUGAAGGCUAUGCUUUGUUUUGUGCUAGAGGAUUUAGAUGUGGUCAGAUGGAGUUGGGCCAUGAAAUUAUAUUAAGAAAUUGAAGGAAAAAAGUUAAGAGAAACUUAGAGUUGUUCUUUAUGGAUGGCGAUAGGCCCAAGUUGCAUGUUUGUUGGUUUUGGGUGAUGAUAAUUGGAGAUUGCAAGGAAAGAGGAUAUGCUACGUUAGAAAAAAAACAUUAAAGAUUUCGAGUUUGGCUAUAUCAGUGCGAACUAUUAUGUUCAGCCUUUAGAUUCAGUUAUGUGCCCAACACUUCUUCCGAAACUGGUUUUGAUUCCGUUUUUGUUGUAUGUGUGCAGUUUUCAGAAUGGAGACUCACGCACCGCUUGUGACCGAGCAACUAGACUAUACAUAUUAUGGCUUUGCCUUGUCUAGCCACCUUGCAUGACCAAAGAUCUAAAUGAUUUAUUGCUUUUUCCAUGCCUUAGGUAAAUGUUUCUUUUUUUCUAAGCCUACGUUAGUUUCAAAAUGCGCAAGUUUAGUUAGCCGAAAAUGUAAGUUUGAUUUUUUUCAAAAAGAAAGUGUAGAGUGGAUUUCGAACGUCUUUACAAAGUGUGAAAUACACUUUUUUAGAAAACAUUUGUACUUAUAUGAAAAAAAUAACCUAUUACUGCUUACUAUUGAAAUGUGUGUGCCACGGUUAUUGAUUAUUUAGAGCCCACUGUGGUAUCCAUUGCCUAUCCAACACUCUAUCCAAACAUCAAAACACUAUUGUCGUAACACCAAGUAAGAAAUCAAUGCCUUGUGAACGGAUAUAUACACAUUUAUUUGAUAAGAAAUGUUAUCCUGAACCACGAGGGGAAGCGCCUCUUGUAACGAGCUCCAACCAAAACUACAUACUUACGUGAAUAAACAUUGUGACUCAUUAGUACAGUUAGCUUGUAUUGCAAGUACAAUAUGAUAUCAUACUUCACAUGCACAAGUGUGGUGUACUUGGAUAAAGCAUCAGUGACCAUUGUAAUUCCGUGUGAGAAUAUAUAACAAGAUUUUUAGUUUUGUGUAACCAAGGGAAAGUAAUGCAAUGUUCCUCGCAUAUGUAUUCCUCCUCUGGAAUACAUUCAUCCAUCCUCUCGUCCUCCGAUAUGUAUAGAGUAGGCCACAAUAGGGUAAUGGGGAAAGUUUUUUGUAAUUAGGUAUUGUGUACAAAACAUUCAAGAUAAUCAUUGGCCUAAGACUAUACCAAAAAUUUGCAAAUGAAGAGCAAAAGGAAGAUAUUUUGUUUAAUUGUGAUGCAAGAAGCCGCUUAACUACACUAUUUAGGUGGGCCAGGUGGUAUGUAUUGUUGGUGUUGGAUUUCCAUUUUAGGCUCACUGGAACUUCAUGGGGUGUUUGUUUUUAUGGGCAUGCGCCAUGGAUAGCUAGCAAGUAAAUGCUUGCUCUGUAGAUGUGUCCUUAGUUUCUUCCCAUAUUUCAUGUUGGAUAUGAUUUGUUCUCUUAAAUUGGUUAAGAAAAAUUGGAAAUAACUAACAAAGAUAAAAAACAUCAUGUCAUCGAAGAUCCACCCCCUCCGCUCGCACGAUAUUGCUUUGAAAAAUGGAAAUAAUCCCUUCAUGUCAUGGAAGAUCUACAUCCUUCCACUCACGCGAUGUCGCAUCAUCUAACCUCGGUCAGUCUUCCCCUUUUCCUCACAGAAUAUCGUGUCGUAAUGCAUGAGAUAUAUCCUGAAGUCCACUUAUUGUAGCACGACAAUAAAUUCUCUAGCCACGCCACAAAUUGAGACGUACCGGAAGCCUCCAAACCGUCCGAAAUUAAUGACACAUGUAAGCAAAGUGAGGGGUGGGUCUUGGGACUUACGAGAGGCCAUGCGAGAGUCGCAAUGCUUGGGUUGUUGACCCCAUUUAUUCUCCACGUGGAUCACUUCUGGAUGGUCUCACGCUUGAGUUGGUCACUGCUACCUCAAAAAGAUCCCCGGCAACGGCGCUAGAAAUUCUUCUGAUGUCAGCUGUGCUUCCCUUGCAACGGCGCCAGAAAUUGUCGUGUCGAUGGCACCAGGAAUCCUUCAGCUGCGGCUACGCCUUAAGGGACUUCCUAGGCAAGUAUGCAAAGGAUUUCCCCCGUGGCCUUGGAGCCUUGCGUUGGUGUUCCCUCGAAGCGGAAAGGGUGAUGUAGCACAGCGGUGGAACGUAUUUCCCUCAGUUUGAGAACCAAGGUAUCAAUCCAGUGGAGGAGUAUCUCAAGAUCCUGCACAAACACAAAAGCUUGCUCCCAAUGCUAUGAAGGGGUUCUCAAUCCCUUAUAGAUUGUUUGCCAAGUGAGAACUGAAAGCAACAAAGUAACAAAGCAAAGUAAAAGCGGAGGUGUAAACAAUGGAUGUGAAUAGAACCGGGGGCCGUAGUGUUUACUAGUGGCUUCUCUCAUGAAAGCAAGUAGACGGUGGGUGAACAAAUUACUGUCGAGCAAUUGAUAGAACCGCACAAAGUCGUGACGAUAUCUAUGCAAUGAUUAUAUCUAUAGGCAUCACGUCCAAAACAAGUAGACCGAUACUGUCUGCAUCUACUACUAUUACUCCACACGUCGACCGCUAUCCAGCAUGCAUCUAGUGUAUUAAGUCCAUAAGAACAGAGUAACGCCUUAAGCAAGAUGACACGAUGUAGAGGGAUAAUCUCAGACCAAUGAUAAAAACCCCAUCUUUUUACCCUUGAUGGCAACUACUUAAUGUGUGCCUUGCUGCCCCUAUUGUCACUGGGAAAGGUCACCACAUGGUAGAACCCAAAACCAAGCACUUCUCCCAUUGCAAGAAUCAUAAAUAUAGUUGGCCAAACAAAACCCAAGACUCGGAGAGACUUACAAGGAUAUCAAAUCAUUCAUAUAAGAAAUCAGCAAAGACUCAAAUAUAUAUCAUAGAUAAUCUGAUCACAAAUCCACAAUUCAUCGGAUCUCGACAAACACACCGCCAAAGAAGAUUACAUCGGAUAGAUAUCCAUGAAGAUCAUGGAGAACUUUGUAUUGAAGAUCCAAGAGAGAGAAGAAGCCAUCUAGCUACUAACUACAGACUCGUAGGUCUGAAGUGAACUACUCACGAGCCAUUGGAGGGGCGAUGAUGAUGAUGAAGAAGCCCUCCAACUCCAAAGUCCCCUCCGGCAGGGCACCGGGAAGCGUCUCCAGAUGAGAUCUCGCGGAAACGGAAGCUUGCGACGACGGAAAAGUAUUUUCGAGGCUCCCCUGAUUUUUUGCUGAAUAUUUGGGAAUAUGUAGGCCAAAGAUCUAGGUCAGGGGGCGGCUAGGGAGGCCACAAGCCUGCCCACCGCCGCCUCCCCCCUCGUGGCGGAGUGGGGGCUUGUGGGCUCCCUGGUGUUGGAAUUAUGCCCUAGAGGCAAUAAUAAAUAUAGUUAUUAUUAUAAUUCCUGUAUCAAGAUAAUCGUUUAUUAUCCAUGCUAUAAUUGUAUUGAAUGAAGACUUAUAUACAUGUGUGGAUACAUAGACAAAACACUGUCCCUAGCAAGCCUCUAGUUGGCUAGCCAGUUGAUCAAAGAUAGUCAGUGUCUUCUGAUUAUGAACAAGGUGUUGUUGCUUGAUAACUGGAUCACGUCAUUAGGAGAAUCACGUGAUGGACUAGACCCAAACUAAUAGACGUAGCAUGUUGAUCGAGUCAUUUUGUUGCUAUUGUUUUCUGCGUGUCAAGUAUUUGUUCCUAUGACCAUGAGAUCAUAUAACUCACGGACACCGGAGGAAUACUUUGUGUGUAUCAAACGCCGCAACGUAACUGGGUGACUAUAAAGAUGCUCUACAGGUAUCUCCGAAGGUGUUCGUUGAGUUAGUAUGGAUCGAGACUGGGAUUUGUCACUCCGUGUGUCGGAGAGGUAUCUCGGGGCCGACUCGGUAAUACAACAUCACGGACAAGCCUUGCAAGCAAUGUGACUUAGUGUAAGUUGCGGGAUCUUGUAUUACGGAACGAGUAAAGAGACUUGCCGGUAAACGAGAUUGAAAUAGGUAUGCGGAUACUGACGAUCGAAUCUCGGGCAAGUAACAUACCGAAGGACAAAGGGAAUGACAUACGGGAUUAUAUGAAUCCUUGGCACUGAGGUUCAAACGAUAAGAUCCUCGUAGAAUAUGUAGGAUCCAAUAUGGGCAUCUAGGUCCCGCUAUUGGAUAUUGACCGAGGAGUCUCUCGGGUCAAGUCUAUAUAGUUCUCGAACCCGCAGGGUCUGCACACUUAAGGUUCGACGUUGUUUUAUGCGUAUUUGAGUUAUAUGGUUGGUUACCGAAUGUUGUUCGGAGUCCCGGAUGAGAUCACGGACGUCACGAGGGUUUCCGGAAUGGUCCGGAAACGAAGAUUGAUAUAUAGGAUGGCCUCAUUUGAUUACCGGAAGGUUUUCGGAGUUACCGGGAAUGUACCGGGAAUGACGAAUGGGUUCCGGGAGUUCACCGGGGGGGGGGGCAACCCACCCCGGGGAAGCCCAUAGGCCUUGGGGGUGGCGCACCAGCCCUUAGUGGGCUGGUGGGACAGCCCAAGAAGGCCCUAUGCGCCAUAGGAAGAAAAUCAAAGAGAAAAAAAAAAGAGGAGGUGGGAAAAGGGCGAAGGACUCCUCCUUUCAAACCUAGUUGGACUCAGUUUGGAAAGGGAGGGUUGCCCCCCUUGGCUCGGCCGAAGUCCUUGGGGGUCCUUGGACCCCAAGGCAAGGCUCCCCCUCUUCCCCCUAUAUAUACGGAGGUUUUAGGGCUGAUUUGAGACAACUUUGCCACGGCAGCCCGACCACAUAUCUCCACGGUUUUACCUCUAGAUCGCGUUUCUGCGGAGCUCGGGCGGAGCCCUGCCGAGACAAGAUCAUCACCAACCUCCGGAGCGCCGUCAUGCUGCCAGAGAACUCUUCUACCUCUCCGUCUCUCUUGCUGGAUUAAGAAGGCCGAGAUCAUCGUCGAGCUGUACAUGUGCUGAACGCGGAGGUGUCGUCCAUUCGGCACUAGAUCGUGGGACUGAUCGCGGGACGGUUCGCGAGGCGGAUCGAGGGACGUGAGGACGUUCCACUACAUCAACCGCGUUCACUAACGCUUCUGCUGUACGAUCUACAAGGAUACGUAGAUCAAACAUCCCCUCUCGUAGAUGGACAUCACCAUGAUAGGUCUUCGUGCGCGUAGGAAAAUUUUUGUUUCCCAUGCGAUGUUCCCCAACAGUGGUAUCAGAGCUAGGUUCAUGCGUAGAUGUGUUCUCGAGUAUAACACAAAAGUUUUUGUGGGCGGUGAUGUGCGUUUUGCUGCCCUCCUUAGUCUUUUCUUGAUUCUGCGGUAUUGUUGGAUUGAAGCGGCUUGGACCGACAUUACUCGUACGCUUACGAGAGACUGGUUUCAUCACUACGAGUAACCCCGUUGCUCAAAGAUGACUGGCAAGUGUUAGUUUCUCCAACUUUAGUUGAAUCGGAUUUGACCGAGGAGGUCCUUGGAUGAGGUUAAAUAGCAACUCAUAUAUCUCCGUUGUGGUGUUUGCGUAAGUAAGAUGCGAUCCUACUAGAUACCCAUGGUCACCACGUAAAACAUGCAACAACAAAAUUAGAAGACGUCUAACUUGUUUUUCCAGGGUAUGCUUGUGAUGUGAUAUGGCCAACGAUGUGAUGUGAUAUAUUGGAUGUAUGAGAUGAUCAUGUUGUAAUAGGUAAUAUCGACUUGCACGUCGAUGGUACGGCAACCGGCAGGAGCCAUAGGGUUGUCUUUUAUACUAACGUUUGUGCUUGCAGAUGCGUUUACUAUUUUGCUAGGAUGUAGCUUUAGUAGUAAUAGCAUGAGUAGCACGACAACCCCGAUGGCGACACGUUGAUGGAGAUCAUGGUGUGGCGCCGGUGACAAGAAGAUCGUGCCGGUGCUUGGUGAUGGAGAUCAAGGAGCACGUGAUGAUGGUCAUAUCAUGUCACUUAUGAAUUGCAUGUGAUGUUAAUCCUUUUAUGCACCUUAUUUUGCUUAGAACGACGGUAGCAUUAUGAGGUGAUCUCUCACUAAAAUUUCAAGACGAAAUUGUGUUAUCCCCGACCGUGCACCGUUGCUACAGUUCGUCGUUUCGAGACACCACGUGAUGAUCGGGUGUGAUAGACUCAACGUUCACAUACAACGGGUGCAAAACAGUUGCGCACGCGGAACACUCGGGUUAAGCUUGACGAGCCUAGCAUGUGCAGACAUGGCCUCGGAACACAUGAGACCGAAAGGUCGAUCAUGAAUCAUAUAGAUGAUAUGAUUAGCAUAGGGAUGCUUACCACUGAAACUAUGCUCAACUCACGUGAUGAUCGGACUUGAGCUAGUGUAAGUGGAUCAUGAACCACUCAAAUGACUAGAGAGAUGUACUUUUUGAGUGGAAGUUUAGCGAGUAAUUUGAUUAAGUUAAACUUUAAUUAUCUUGAACAUAGUCUAAGUCCACUUUGAAUAUAUUUGUGUUGUAGAUCAUGGCUCACGCGACAGUCACCCUGAAUUUUAAUACGUUCCUAGAGAAAGCUAAGUUGAAAGAUCAUGGAAGCAACUUUGUAGACUGGGCUCGUAAUCUUAAGCUAAUCUUACAAGCUGGGAAGAAGGAUUAUGUCCUUAAUGCUGCGCUAGGAGAUGAACCACCCGCUACGGCUGAUCAGGAUGUUAAGAACGCUUGGUUAGCACGUAAGGAGGACUACUCAGUAGUUCAAUGUGCAGUCUUGUAUGGCUUAGAACCGGGACUUCAAUGUCGCUUUGAGCGUCAUGGAGCAUUUGAGAUGUUCCAGGAGUUGAAGUUUAUCUUUCAGAAGAACGCCCGGAUUGAGAGGUAUGAGACCUCCGAUAAAUUCUAUGCUUGCAAGAUGGAGGAGAACUCGUCUGUCAGUGAACAUGUGCUCAAAAUGUCUCGGUACUCAAACCGUCUAGCUGAGCUGGGGAUUGAACUCCCGCAAGAGGCCAUCACUGACAGAAUCCUUCAGUCACUGCCGCCAAGCUAUAAAGGCUUUGUGUUGAACUACAACAUGCAAGGGAUGAACAAGUCACCCGGCGAGUUGUUUGCGAUGCUGAAAGUCGCAGAGUCUGAACUCCAUAAAGAACAUCAAGUGUUGAUGGUGAAUAAGACCACUAGUUUCAAGAGAAACGGCAAAAGCAAGAAGGGUAAUUCAAAGAAGAGCAGCAAGCCUGUUGCCAAUCCGACGAAGAAAGCCAAAGCUGGACCUAAGCCUGAAACAGAGUGUUACUAUUGCAAGGGUAUGGGUCACUGGAAGCGCAAUUGCCCCAAGUAUAUAGCUGAUAAGAAGGCGGCCAAAGAAAAAUCAGGUAUAUUUGAUAUACAUGUUAUUGAUGUGUACUUAACCGGGUCUCGUAGUAGUGCCUGGGUAUUCGAUACCGGUUCUGUUGCUCAUAUUUGCAACUCGAAACAGGAACUGCGGAAUAGACGAAGGCUGGCAAAAGAUGAAGUGACGAUUUGCGUAGGAAAUGGUUCCAAGGUUGAUGCAAUCGCCAUCGGCACUGUUUCACUUCAGUUACCAUCAGGAUUAGUUAUGAACUUGAAUCAUUGUUAUUUAGUGCCUGCGUUGAUCAUGAACAUUAUAUCUGGAUCUUGUUUAUUGCGAGACGGUUACUCUUUUAAGUCAGAGAAUAAUGGUUGUUCUAUUUCUAUGAGUAACAUCUUUUAUGGUCAUGCACCCAAUGUGAGAGGAUUGUUCAUAUUGAAUCUUGAUAGCGAUACACACAUACAUAACAUUGAGACCAAAAGAGUUAGAGUUAACAAUGAUAGCGCCAUAUUCUUGUGGCACUGCCGCUUAGGUCAUAUUGGUGUAAAGCGCAUGAAGAAACUCCAUGCCAUGGACUUUUGGAGUCACUUGACUUUGAUUCACUUGACACGUGCGAACCAUGCCUCAUGGGCAAGAUGACUAAAACUCCGUUCUCUGGAACAAUGGAGCGUGCAAGUGACUUUUUGGAAAUCAUACAUACCGAUGUGUGUGGUCCGAUGAGCGUAGAGGCACGCGGCGGAUAUCAUUAUUUUCUCACCUUCACUGACGAUUUGAGUAGAUAUGGUUAUGUCUACUUAAUGAAGCACAAGUCUGAAACAUUUGAAAAGUUCAAGCAAUUUCAGAGUGAAGUUGAAAAUCAUCGUAACAAGAAGAUCAAGUUCCUACGGUCUGAUCGUGGGGGUGAAUAUCUGAGUUUCGAGUUUGGUGCUCACUUAAGACAAUGUGGAAUUGUUUCACAGUUGACACCGCCUGGAACACCACAGCGUAAUGGUGUGUCCGAACGUCGUAAUCGUACUUUAUUAGAGAUGGUGCGAUCUAUGAUGUCUCUUACCGAUUUGCCGUUAUCGUUUUGGGGUUAUGCAUUAGAAACAGCUGCAUUCACUUUAAAUAGGGCACCAUCAAAAUCUGUUGAGACGACACCAUACGAACUGUGGUAUGGCAAAAGGCCAAAGUUGUCGUUUCUUAAAGUUUGGGGAUGUGAUGCUUAUGUCAAAAAGCUUCAGCCUGAAAAGCUGGAACCCAAAGCGGAAAAGUGCAUCUUCAUAGGUUACCCAAAAGAGACAGUUGGGUACACCUUCUAUCUCAAAUCCGAGGGCAAAGUGUUUGUUGCUAAAAACUGAGCUUUUCUCGAGAAGGAGUUUCUCUCGAGAGUAUUGAGUGGGACAGAGAUAGAACUUGAUGAGGUUGUCGAACCUCUCAUCCCUCUAGAUGGUGGCGCAGGGCAAGGGGAAACCUCUGUCGUUGCGAUGCCGGUUGAGGAGGAAGUUAAUGAUGAUGAUCAUGAAACUCCGGUUCAAGUUUCUGUCGAACCACGCAGGUCGACGAGACCACGUGCUGCUCCAGAGUGGUACAGUAAUCCCGUCUUGUCAAUCAUGUUGUUAGACAACAAUGAACCUGCAAGUUAUGAAGAAGCAAUGGUGGGCCCGGAUUCCAACAAAAGGCUAGAAUCCAUGAAGUCCGAGAUAGGAUCCAUGUAUGAGAACAAAGUAUGGACUUUGGAAGUACUACCUGAGGGCCGCAAGGCUAUUCAGAACAAAUGGAUCUUUAAGAGGAAGACGGACGCUGACGGCAAUGUGACCGUUUAUAAAGCUCGACUUGUGGCGAAGGGUUUUUCACAAGUUCAAGGAGUUGAUUACGAUGAGACAUUCUCACCCGUGGCGAUGCUUAAGUCCGUCAGAAUCAUGUUAGCAAGAGCUGCAUUUUUUGAUUAUGAAAUCUGGCAGAUGGAUGAGAAAACGGCGUUCCUUAACGGUUUCCUUAAGGAAGAGUUGUAUAUGAUGCAACCCGAAGGUUUUGUCGAUCCUAAGAGUGCUAACAAGGAGUGCAAGCUCCAGCGAUCCAUUUAUGGACUGGUGCAAGCAUCUCGGAGUUGGAACAAAUGCUUUGAUGAGGUGAUCAAAGCAUUUGGGUUUAUACAAGUGGUUGGAGAAUCUUGUAUUUACAAGAAAGUGAGUGGGAGCUCUGUGGCGUUUCUAAUAUUAUAUGUGGAUGACAUAUUGCUGAUUGGAAGCAACGUAGAGUUUUUGGAGAGCAUAAACGAUUACUUGAAUAAAAGUUUCUCUAUGAAGGACCUAGGAGAAGCUGCUUACAUUCUAGGCAUUAAGAUCUACAUGGAUUGAUCAAAACGCCUGAUAGGACUUUCACAAAGCACAUACCUUGAUAAAGUUUUGAAAAGGUUCAAAAUGGAACAGUCCAAGAAUGGGUUCUUGCCAGUUUUACAAGGUACGAGAUUGAGUAAGACUCAGUGCCCAGCAACUGAUGAGGAUAGAGAGCAUAUGAGCAUCGUCCCCUAUGCUUCAGCCAUAGGUUCUAUCAUGUAUGCAAUGCUGUGCACUAGACCGGACGUUAGCUUGGCCAUAAGUAUGGCAGGCAGGUUCCAGAGUAAUCCAGGAGUGGAUCACUGGACGGCGGUCAAGAAUAUCCUGAAGUACCUGAAAAGGACUAAGGAGAUGUUUCUCGUGUAUGGAGGUGACGAAGAGCUCGCCGUAAAGGGUUAUGUCGAUGCAAUCUUUGACACAGAUCCGGAUGACUCUAAGUCACAGACCGGAUACGUAUUUAUUCUUAAUGGGUGUGCGGUAAGCUGGUGCAGUUCCAAGCAAAGCGUCGUAGCAGAUUCUACAUGCGAAGCGGAGUACAUGGCUGCCUCGGAGGCGGCUAAGGAGGGUGUCUGGAUGAAGCAGUUCAUGAUGGAUCUUGGAGUAGUGCCAAGCGCACUGAAUCCAAUAUCCUUGUUCUAUGACAACACGGGUGCCAUUGCCCUAGCAAAGGAACCACGAUUUCACAAGAAGUCCAGACACAUCAAACGACGCUUCAACCUCAUCCGCGAUUACGUCGAAGGGGAGGACGUGAAUAUAUGCAAAGUGCACACAGAUCUGAAUGUAGCAGACCCGCUGACUAAACCUCUUCCACGGGCAAAGCAUGAUCAACACCAGAACUGUAUGGGUGUUAGAUUUAUUACAAUGUAAUUCGCAUGAUGAUGUGAGGGCUAGAUUAUUGACUCUAGUGCAAGUUGGAGACUGUUGGAAUUAUGCCCUAGAGGCAAUAAUAAAUAUAGUUAUUAUUAUAAUUCCUGUAUCAAGAUAAUCGUUUAUUAUCCAUGCUAUAAUUGUAUUGAACGAAGACUUAUAUACAUGUGUGGAUACAUAGACAAAACACUUUCCCUAGCAAGCCUCUAGUUGGCUAGCCAGUUGAUCAAAGAUAGUCAAUGUCUUCUGAUUAUGAACAAGGUGUUGUUGCUUCAUAACUGGAUCACGUCAUUAGGAGAAUCACGUGAUGGACUAGACCCAAACUAAUAGACGUAGCAUGUUGAUCGUGUCAUUUUGUUGCUAUUGUUUUCUGCGUGUCAAGUAUUUGUUCCUAUGACCAUGAGAUCAUAUAACUCACUGACACCGGACGAAUACUUUGUGUGUAUCAAACGUCGCAACGUAACUGGGUGACUAUAAAGAUGCUCUACAGGUAUCUCCGAAGGUGUUCGUUGAGUUAGUAUGGAUCGAGAUUGGGAUUUGUCACUCAGUGUGAUGGAGAGGUAUCUCGGGGCCCACUCGGUAAUACAACAUCACACACAAGCCUUGCAAGCAAUGUGACUUAGUGUAAGUUGCGGGAUCUUGUAUUACAGAACGAGUAAAGAGACUUGCCGGUAAAUGAGAUUGAAAUAGGUAUGCGGAUACUGACGAUCGAAUCUCGGGCAAGUAACAUACCGAAGGACAAAGGGAAUGACAUACGGGAUUAUAUGAAUCCUUGGCACUGAGGUUCAAACAAUAAGAUCUUCGUAGAAUAUGUAGGAUCCAAUAUGGGCAUCCAGGUCCCGCUAUUGGAUAUUGACCGAGGAGUCUCUCGGGUCAUGUCUACAUAGUUCUCGAACCCGCAUGGUCUGCACACUUAAGGUUCGACGUAGUUUUAUGCGUAUUUGAGCUAUAUGGUUGGUUACCGAAUGUUGUUCGGAGUCCCGGAUGAGAUCACGGACGUCACGAGGGUUUCCAGAAUGGUCCGGAAAUGAAGAUUGAUAUAUAGGAUGGCCUCAUUUGAUUACCGGAAGGUUUUCGGAGUUACCGAGAAUGUACCGGGAAUGACGAAUGGGUUCCGGGAGUUCACCGGGGGGGGGGGGCAACCCACCCCGGGGAAGCCCAUAGGCCUUGGGGGUGGCGCACCAGCCCUUAGUGGGCUGGUGGGACAGCCCAAGAAGGCCCUAUGCGCCAUAGGAAGAAAAUCAAAGAGAAAAAAAAAGAGGAGGUGGGAAGAGGGGGAAGGACUCCUCCUUCCAAACCUAGUUGGACUCGGUUUGGAAGGGGAGGGUUGCCCCCCUUGGCUCGGACGAAGUCCUUGGGGGUCCUUGGACCCCAAGGAAAGGCUCCCCCUCUUCCCCCUAUAUAUACGAAGGUUUUAGGGCUGAUUUGAGACAACUUUGCCACGGCAUCCCGACCACAUAUCUCCACGGUUUUACCUCUAGAUCGCGUUUCUGCGGAGCUCGGGCGGAGCCCUGCCGAGACAAGAUCAUCACCAACCUCCGGAGCGCCAUCACGCUGCCAGAGAACUCUUCUACCUCUCCGUCUCUCUUGCUGGAUCAAGAAGGCCAAGAUCAUCGUCGAGCUGUACGUGUGCUGAACGCGGAGGUUCCGUCCGUUCGGCACUAGAUCGUGGGACUGAUCGCGGGACGGUUCAUGGGGCGGAUCGAGGGACGUGAGGACGUUCCACUACAUCAACCGCGUUCACUAACGCUUCUGCUGUACGGUCUACAAGGGUACGUAGAUCAAACAUCCCCUCUCGUAGAUGGACAUCACCAUGAGAGGUCUUCGUGCGCGUAGGAAAUUUUUUGUUUCCCAUGCGACGUUCCCCAACACCUGGAACCCACCUGGCUUGUCCCAAAGGCCCCCCGAUCUUCUUCGGUUCGGAAAAAAUCAUUUCGGGGUUUUUCUUCCGUUUGGACUCCGUUCCAAAAUCAGAUCUGAAAAGAGUCAAAAACACGGAAAAACAGGAACUGGCAGUUGGCACUAAAUUAAUAAGUUAGUCCCAAAAAAGAUGUAAAAGGUACAUAAAACAUCCAAAGAUGACAAGAUAACAGCAUGAAACCAUCAAAAAUUAUAGAUACGUUUGAGACGUAUCAAGCAUCCCCAAGCUUAACUCUAUAUUCUCAAAACAUAGAGCAACUAUGACUCUAUAUGGAAUGCCUUCGGUAGUGUACCGUAACAAUGAUCUAGCAUGGCAUAGGCAUUAAUGGAAACAUCAUGCUAGCUAUCUUACGAUCAUGCAAUGGCAAUGUAGACAUGGUGGCACAUGUCAUGGUGGUAGUUGCAUGGCAAUAUAUGUGACGCCCUCGGUUUAAUCGUACGCUAAUCAUACACGCAAAUGCGUACGAUCAAACCCAAGGACUCACGCGAAGAUAUCACAACAAAACUCUAGACACAAAUAAAAUAAAACAAGCUUCAAAUUGCAAGCCAGGGGCCUCGAGGGCUAGAAUACAGAAGCUCGAUAAACACACGAGUCAACGGAAGCAACAAAUAUCUGAGUACAGACAUAAAACAUGGUGUGCCUUAGAGAAGGCUAACACAAAAGAAACACGAUCGAACGAGGCGAGGCCUCCUGCCUAGGAACCUCCUAACUACUCCUAUCUUCAGCGGCCUCCAUGAAAAGACACCAUCGGGACGGCACGCGUCGGCAGGAAAACUCCAUCUCCUGGGCUCCAUCAUCUGGUCGCAUCAAACGGAUCAAGGGGACAAAGGGGGAGCAAAGCAGCGGUGAGUACUCAUCCAAAGUACCCGCAAGUCUUACAUCAGAUUUAUUCUAAGUAUGCAUCAGUAUCAAAGAAGGGGGGUUAUAUGUGGACAGACUGCAGCAAUGCGAGAAUAGAGGGAGAAGGUCCUGGUGGCGGAGUGGGGGCUUGUGGGCUCCCUGGAGCCCACCUGGCUUGGCCCAAAGGUCCCCUGAUCUUCUUCUGUUCGGAAAAAAAUCAUUUCGGGGUUUUUCUUCCGUUUGGACUCCGUUCCAAAAUCAGAUCUCAAAAGAGUCAAAAACACGAAAAAAACAAGAACUGGUACUUGGCACAGAAUUAAUAAGUAAGUCCCAAAAAAGAUAUAAAAGGUACAUAAAACAUCCAAAGAUGAUAAGAUAACAGCGUGAAACCAUCAAAAAUUAUAGAUACGUUUGAGACGUAUCAGUCACCUCCCAUGGCUAAGCCUCGCAUCUGGUGUAAACUAAAGUUAGGUUAGUAAAUUUUGGUGUUUCUAUAUUUGUUGUUCGAUUCUGUUUUCAAUUUAUUCCUAAAGGGUAGACUGCAUUAGCCUAGCUAAGGAUAUGGAUACCUUCAACGCUUGGCACCCCGCCAUAUUAAAUAGAAAAGGUCCCUACCUCAUUUUGUGUAGCCACAUUAUGUGGGAGAAAUCACGAAAAAGACAAGCCCCAUGGGAGAGACAGAUUGGACUCGUUGAGAAGAAGAAGUUUUGUAGAAUAUUAGGCCUUGCGUAGUUGCAUACAAUGUUGAGGUGAAGAUCCAUAUUGUGCGGAUGUUUCCUUGUCAAACGGGCCAAAUAUCCCGUAAAUGGGUCAUCGGACGAUGAAAUCGAUCUUAGGACACUACCGAUUUGGCUAACGGCUUAUCAAAUCCCUAGUAUUUUGAAGUUCGGUUUGAGUUAGAGGAGCGAGAGUCGAUGUGUUUGUGGUUCUAGAGGAUUGCCAAAGAUGCCCUAAGAGACUUUAUGACUUGUUCUCACACGUUGCUCGUAUUAAAACUACAAUAGGAAAUCAUACUUCACAUGCACAAAUGUGUGGUGUACCUAGAUAAAGCAAUAGAGACAAUUGUAGUUACGUGUNUUGUUCUCACACGUUGCUCGUAUUAAAACUACAAUAGGAAAUCAUACUUCACAUGCACAAAUGUGUGGUGUACCUAGAUAAAGCAAUAGAGACAAUUGUAGUUACGUGUGAGAACAUAUUAAAAAUAAUUUCUGUUUUGUGCAAUCAAGGGAAAGUAAAAUAAUGUCCUUCUCAUAUUUAUGCUCGCACUGAUCACAUUCAUCCAUCCACUCGUCCUUAUAGCUGUAUAGAGUAGGUCACAAUAGGGCCAUGGGAGAGUGUUGUUUGUAAUUAGGUGGUAAGUGUGUACAAGACAGACAAGACAAUCAUUGUCCUAGACCCUAUACCAUCCAUAUGCAAAUAAAGUGCAAAAGGAAGAAAUUUUGUUUAUCUCUAAAGCAAGAAGCCGCUUAACUACACUAUUUAGGCAGGCCAACAUGUGUGGGAGGACUGGGUGGUAUUUUUGCGGUGAAUUUCCAUUUUAAGCUCACUGAAACUUGAUGGGGAUGUUUGCUUUUUAGGUGUGGCCCAUGGACAGCUAGCCAGCAAAUGCUAGCAUUGUAGAUGUGCCCUUUGUUUUUUCCCGUAUUUCAAGAUAGAUAUGCAUUUUUUUCUUAAAUUGGUUAAGAAAACAUGGAAAUAACUACAAACAAUGAGAAAAACAUCACAUCAUUGAGGAUCACCCCCCCCCCACCUCCACUCGCUUGAGAUUGCUUAGGAAAAAUGCAAAUUAUGACUUCACGUCAAUGGAAGAUCCACACCCUUCCAAUCACACGAGAUCACAUCAUCUAACCCAAGAUCCGUCUUACCCCUUUCCUCACAGAAAAUCACAUCAUAACGUGUGACAUAUAUCCUAAGGUCUAGCAUGAAAACAAAUUCUAUAGCCACCCCGCCACUUGAGACAUACCGAAACCCACCCCACCAUGUGACAUUAAACAUACAUGUAAGAAACCGAGGGGUGGGCUUGGGACUUAUGAGAGGUCAUGCAAGAGAUAGAAUGCUUGGGCUAUCAAUCCACUUUCUCCUCCCUCGUGAAUCGCUGCUCGAUGGUCCCACGCCCAUGUUGGACACCUCAUGUGGCCGAGCCUGGCAUUUGGUAGAUACCAAACUUCGGUUAGUAAGUUUUGUUGUUUCUAUAUUUCCUUUUGGAUUCCGUUGGUUAAGUAAAAUGGAAAUAACUAGCAAUAGUGAAAAAUGCAUCACAUCACUGAAGAUCACCCCCACUCCACUCACAUGAGUUCGCUUUGAAAAAAAGGAAAAUUAUCACUUCACAUCAUUGAAGAUCCACACCCUUCCACUCACACGAGAUGACAUCAUCUAACCCGAGAUCUGUCUUCCCCUUUUCCUCACACAAGAUCAUGUCAUAAUGUGUGACAUAUAUCCUAAUGUCUAGCAUGACAAUAAAUUCUCUAGCUGUCCUGCCACUUGAGACGUAUCGAAACCCACACCACCAUCUGACAUGAAACGUACAUGUAAGAAAAUGAGGCGUGGAUUUUGGGCCUUAUGAGAGGUGAUGCAAGAGCCACAAAGCUUGGGUUGUUAAUCCCCUUUAUCCUCCCUUGUGGAUCGCUGCUCGACGAUCCCAUGACCAUGUUGGGCACCUCACAUGGCUGGCCCUGGCAUUUGGUAUAUUAACUUAGGUUAGUAAGUUUUGGUGUUUCUAUAUUUCCUUUUUCAUUCGGUUUUCGAAUAAUACUGAAAGAGUAUCCCGUGUCCGGUUCACCAAGGAUAUGGAUGCUUUCCACCCGAGGCAUACCACCCUAUCAAAUAGUCAAGCUCCUGCCCCCAUUUUCUGCAGCCUGGUGAUGUGGUACUAAUAACCAAAUGGACAUGCCCCACGGGAGAGACUCAUUGGUGUGGGUAAGAAAAAUAGGUUUUGUAGAUUAUUGGGAAUUGCCUAUUUGCAUAUAGUAUUGACGUGGAUGGCCCACAUGAGUGAUUAGGUCGUCCUUGACUUGCACACACGACCACAUGGCACUUACCUUAUCCUUCGGGGAGCGACUCUGUGUCGACUAUUGUGAGAUGAAAUAAGGUGUCGCCUAGAGUGCUUACGAAAUGGGAUAGAACACCAUGCUGGGCGACCAACGGACUUAAGAGUUGAUUUUUUUAUCUUUUUUUUCUUUCUUUUAUAUUUAUUUUAACAGUUGUCCAUUAUAUUUCAUAGUUUAUGCUCAUAUGUAUCCACCCCUGUAACUGCCCAAUUACCGAGCCACUACAAUCACUAGGAAAAUGCUCGUGCAUUUCUACAUCCAACAUGAAUCCAUUAAUCACAAUUUAGCAAAUGCGUACAGCAAUAAGUGAAGCAUUGUUUGAUAUCAUAGUUGAAUGUCCAUUAUUCCAUAUCAUAGGUUAAUAACCAUGAAUUGCGACCAGAUAUAUAUUACUAUGAUGACCAAAGGCAUGAGAAACACAAAAAUCAAGCACAACAUAAUAUUUCCCAACAACUUCCAAAAAAAAGAGAAACCAACAUCGCAACAUAUGAAUGAAACAAAACUAAGAAGCCUUUGAAUAAACAACAUUUAACAUGAUACUAAUUGGGUAUGCUUAAUUUGCAUGAUACAAUGGUUCACGAGGAAACAAUUUUGUGCUGAGAGAUACAAGUUUGGUCUAUUCAACAAAAAACACCAUAUUUCCUGACUAAGGCAUUUAUCUCAAAUGUCUUGAAAGUAUUUAUCUAGAUAGAUCCAAACAAAUAUACAAGGAUGAGAACUACCAAAUAAUCUUAUAGAUUGUGAUUCUAGCAACAUGAGUAUCAAUUCUACACUUUCCACAUAGGCAAUACAAUUUUAACUAGAGGGUUGUGCUUGUUUCCCGAAACAAGAUCAAGCGGGAGAUUGGUGUUAAUUCUCCUAGGUGUGGAACCUUCUUUCGCUGAACACCAAUCCAAAGCACCAUGCUUGUUGCUUUGAAGAUCACUUGUAGAGUUUGUGUGUCUCGGCACGAUGAGGGACUAGAGGAGUAGGCGGCACUAUUUUUCCGAGAGGCGGGCCUACUACUGGUCGGGUCAUACUCUGUUGUGCAGCACAAUUCUUGAUCUUGUUUGGAAUUGAAAAGGGGUCCCGAGGCAGGAUGUGGCUCAGACAAGGGCUUGAUAAGUUGUAUUAGAGUUUUCUUUGAGGAUCACUUGAAGACCCAGAGCGGCACCGAUUAUAGAGAGCAUGGGAAAUGCUUAAUUUCUUGAAGGCUAUGAUUUGUAUUGUGCUAGAGGAUUUAGAUGUGGUCAUAUGGAGUUGGGCCAUGAAAUUAAAUUGAGAAAUUGAAGGGAAAAAGUUAAGAGAAACUUAGAGUUGUUCUUUAUGGAGGGCGAUAGGCCCAAGUUGCAUCUUUGUUGGUUUUGGGUGAUGAGAAUUGGAGAUUGGGAGGAAAGAGGAUAUGCUACGUCAGAAAAAAAACAUAGAAGAUUUCGAGUUUGGCUAUAUGAGUGCGAACUAUUAUGUUCAGCCUUUAGGUUCCGUUCCGUGCCCAACACUUCUUCUGAAACUGGUUUUGAUUCCGUUUUUGUUGUAUGUGUGGAGUUUUCAGAAUGGAGACUCACGCACCGCUUAUGACCGAUCAACUAGACUCUACUUAUUAUGGCUUUUCCUUGUCUAGCCACCUUAUAUGACCAAAGAUCUAAAUGAUUUAUUGCUUUUUCCAUGCCUUAGGUAAAUCUUUCUUUUUUUCCGAGGCCUACGUUAGUUUCAAAAUGCGCAAGUUUAGUUAGCCGAAAAUGUAAGUUCAAUUUUUUCAAAAAGAAAGUGUAGAGUGGAUUUAGGACGUUUUUACAAAGUGUGAAAUGCAAGUUUUUUUAAAAACAUAUGUACUUAUAUGAAAAAAUAACCUAUUACUGCUUAGUAUUGAAAUGUGUGUGCAAUUGUUAUUGAUUAUUUAGAGCCCAGUGUGGUAUCCAUUGCCUAUCCAACAAUCUAUCCAAACAUCAAAACACUAUUACCGUAACACAAAGUAAGAAAUCAAUGUCUUGUGAACAUAUAUAUACACAUUUGUUUGGUAAGAAAUGUUAUCCUCAACCACGAGGGGAAACGCCUCAUGUAACGAUCUCCAACAAAAACUACAUACUUACGUGAAUAAACAUUGUGACUCAUUAGCAGAGUUAGCUUGUAUUGCAAGUACAAUAUGAUAUCAUACUUCACAUGUACAAGUGUGGUGUGCUUGGAUAAAGCAUAAGUGACCAUUGUAAUUACGUGUGAGAAUAUAUAACAAGAUUUUUAGUUUUGGGUAACCAAGGGAAAGUAAUGCAAUCAACCUCGCAUAUGUAUUCCUCCUCUGGAAUACAUUCAUCCAUCCUCUCGUCCUCCGAUAUGUAUAGAGUAGGCCACAAUAGGUUAAUGGGGGCAAGUUGUUUGUAAUUAGGUAUUGUGUACAAAAUAUUCAAGGUAAUCAUUGGCCUAAGACUAUACCAAAAAUUAGCAAAUGAAGAGCAAAAGGAAGAUAUUUUGUUUAAUUGUGAUGCAAGAGGCCGCUUAACUACACUAUUUAGGUGGGCCAACACGUGUUGGCGGACGAGGUGGUAUAUAUUGUCGGUGUUGGAUUUCCAUUUUAGGCUCACUGGAACUUUAUGGGGUGUUUGUUUUUACGGGCAUGCGCCAUGGGUAGCUAGCGAGUAAAUGUUUGCUUUGUAGAUGUGUCCUUAGUUUCUUCCCAUAUUUCAUGUUGGAUAUGAUUUGUUCUCCUAAAUUGGUUAAGAAAUAUUGGAAAUAGCUAACAAAGAUAAAAAAAACAUCAUGUCAUCGAAGAUCCACCCCCUCCGCUCGCACGAUAUUGCUUUGAAAAAUGGAAAUAAUCCCUUCACGUCAUGGAAGAUCUACAUCCUUCUACACACGCGAUAUCGCAUCAUCUAACCUGGGUCAGUCUUCCCCCUUUCCUCACAGAAUAUCGCGUCGUAAUGCAUGAGAUAUAUCCUGAAGUCCACUUAUUGUAGCACGACAAUAAAUUCUCUAGCCACCCCGCCAUUUGAGACGUACCGGAAGCCUCGCCACCGUCCGAAAUAAAUGACACACGUAAGCAAAGUGAGGGGUGGGUCUUGGGACUUACGAGAGGCCAUGCGAGAGCCGCAAUGCUUGGGUUGUUGACCCCAUUUGUUCUCCACGUGGAUCGCUUCUUGAUGGUCUCACGCUCGAGUUGGUCACCUGCCAUGGCUAAGCCUCGCAUCUGGUGUAAACUAACCUUAGGUUAGUAAAUUUUAGUGUUUCUAUAUUUGUUGUUCCAUUCUGUUUUCAAUUUAUUCCUAAAGGGUAGAAUGCAUUAGGCUAACUAAGGAUAUGAAUACCUUCAACGCAUGGCACCCCGCCAUAUCAAAUAGAAAAGGUCCCUACCCCAUUUUUGUGUAGCCACAUGAUGUGGGAGAAAUCACGAAAUAGACAAGCCCCAUGGGAGAGACUGAUUGGAUUGGUUGAGAAGAAGAUGUUUUGUAGAAUAUUAGGCCUUGCGUAGUUGCAUACAAUGUUGAGGUGAAGAUCCAUAUUGUGCGGAUGUUUCCUUGUCAAACGGGCCAAAUAUCCCUAAAUGGAUCAUCGGACGAUGAAAUCGGUCUUAGGACACUACCGAUUUGGCUAACGGCUUAUCAAAUCCCUAGUAUAUUUAUGUUGGGUUUGAGUUAGAGGAGCAAGAGUCGAGGUGUUUGCGGUUCUAGAGGAUUGCCAAAGAUGCCAUAAGACACUAUAUGACUUGUUCUCACACGUUGCUCGUAUUAAAACUACAAUAGGAAAUCAUACUUCACAUGCACAAAUGUGUGGUUCUAGAGGAUUGCCAAAGAUGCCAUAAGACACUAUAUGACUUGUUCUCACACGUUGCUCGUAUUAAAANAAAUGGAUCAUCGGACGAUGAAAUCGGUCUUAGGACACUACCGAUUUGGCUAACGGCUUAUCAAAUCCCUAGUAUAUUUAUGUUGGGUUUGAGUUAGAGGAGCAAGAGUCGAGGUGUUUGCGGUUCUAGAGGAUUGCCAAAGAUGCCAUAAGACACUAUAUGACUUGUUCUCACACGUUGCUCGUAUUAAAACUACAAUAGGAAAUCAUACUUCACAUGCACAAAUGUGUGGUUCUAGAGGAUUGCCAAAGAUGCCAUAAGACACUAUAUGACUUGUUCUCACACGUUGCUCGUAUUAAAACUACAAUAGGAAAUCAUACUUCACAUGCACAAAUGUGUGGUGUACCUAGAUAAAGCAAUAGAGACAAUUGUAGUUACGUGNCUUGUUCUCACACGUUGCUCGUAUUAAAACUACAAUAGGAAAUCAUACUUCACAUGCACAAAUGUGUGGUGUACCUAGAUAAAGCAAUAGAGACAAUUGUAGUUACGUGUGAGAACAUAUUAAAAAUAAUUUCAGUUUUGUGCAAUCAAGGGAAAGUAAAGUAAUGUCCUUCUCAUAUUUAUGCUCGCACUGAUCACAUUCAUCCAUCCACUCGUCCUUAUAGCUGUAUAGAGUAGGUCACAAUAGGGCCAUGGGAGAGUGUUGUUUGUAAUUAGGCGGUAACUGUGUACAAGACAUACAAGACAAUCAUUGUCCUAGAGCCUAUACCAUCCAUAUGCAAAUAAAGUGCAAAAGGAAGAAAUUUUGUUUAACUCUAAAGCAAGAAGCCUCUUAGCUACACUGUUUAGGCGGGCCAAUAUGUGUGGGAGGACUAGGUUGUAUUUUUGGGGUGAAUUUCCAUUUUAAGCUCAUUGGAACUCGAAUAAACUAAGAAGAAAAAACUAAUUUGCACCUCACAUGGCUGACCCUGGCAUUUGGUAUAUAAACUUCGGUUAGUAAGUUUUGGUGUUCCUGUAUUUCACUUUUGAUUCAGUUUUCGACUUAUACUGAAAGAGUAUCCCGUGUCCGGUUCACCAAGGAUAUGGAUGACUUCCACCCGAGGCAUACCACCCUAUUAAAUAGUCAAGCUCCUGCCCCCAUUUUCGGCGGCUUGGUGAUUGGUACUAAUAACCAAAUGGACAAGCCCACGAGAGAGACUCAUUGGCGUGGGUAAGAAAAAUAGGUUUUGUACAUUAUUGGGCAUUGCCUAUUUGCAUAUAGUAUUGAGGUGGAUGGCCCACAUGAGUGAUUAGGUCAUCCCUGACUUGCACACACGACCAGAUGGCACUCACCUUAUCCUUAGGGGAGCGACUCUGUGUCGACUAUUGUGAGACGAAAUAAGGUGUCACCUAGAGUGCUUACGAAAUGGGCUAGAACACCAUGCUGGGAGACCAUCGGACUUAAGAGUUGAUUCUUGUAUCUUCUUUUUUUCUUUCUUUUAUAUUUAUUUUAACAGUUGUCCAUUAUAUUUCAUAGUUUAUUCUCAUAUGUAUCCACCCCUGUAACUGCUGAAUUACCGACGCACUACAAUCACUAGGAAAAUGCUCGUGCAUUUCUACAUCCAACAUGAAUCCAUUAAUCUCAAUUUAGCAAAUGCGUACACCAAUAAGUGAAGCAUUGUUUGAUAUCAUAGUUGAAUGUCCAUUAUUCGAUAUCAUAGGUUAAUAACCAUGAAUUGCGACCAGAUAUAUAUUACUAUGAUGAUCAAAGGCACGAGAAACACAAAAAUCAAGCACAACAAAAUAUUUCCCAACAAGUGCCAAAAAAAAGAUAAACCAACAUCGCAACAUAUGAAUGAAACAAAACUAGGAAGCAUUUGAACAAACAACAUUUAACAUGAUACUAAUUGGGAAUGCUUAAUUUGCACGAUAUAAUAGUUCACGAGGAAACAAGUUUGUGCUGAGUGAUACAAGUUUGGUCUAUUCAACAAAACACGUCAUAUUUCCUGACUAAGGCAUUUAUCUCAAAAGUAUUGAAAGUAUUUAUCUAGAUAGAUCCAAAAAAAUAUACAAGGAUGAGAACUUCCAAAUAAUCUUAUAGAUUGUGAAUCUAGCAACAUGAGUAUCAAUUCUACACUUUCGACGUAGGCAAUACAAUUUUAACUAGUGGGUUGUGCUUGUUUCCCGAAACAAGAUCAAGAGGGGGGUUGGUGUUAAUUCACCUAGGUGUAGAACCUUCUUUCGCUGAAUACCAAUCCAAAGCACCAUGCGUGUUGCUUCGAAGAUCACUUGUAGAGUUGGUACAUCUCGGGACGAUGAGGGACUAGAGUAGUAGGCGACACUAUUUUCCGAGAGGCGGGCCUACUACUGGUCGGGUCAGACUCUGUUGUGGAUCACAAUUCUUGAUCUUGUUUGGAAUUGAAGAGGGGUCCCGAGGCAGGAUGGGGCUCAGACGAGGGCUUGAUAAGUUGUAUUAGAGUGUGCUUUGAGGAUCACUUGAAGACUCAGAGCGGCACCGAUUAUAGAGAGCAUGGGGAAUGCUUAGUUUCUUGAAGGCUAUGAUUUGUCUUGUGCUAGAGGAUUUAGAUGUGGUCAUAUGGAGUUGGGCCAUGAAAUUACAUUGAGAGAUUGAAGGGAAAAAGUUAAGAGAAAAUUAGAGUUUUUCUUGAUGGAGGGCGAUAGGCCCAAGUUGCAUCUUUGUUGGUUUUGGGUGAUGAGAAUUGGAGAUUGGGAGGAAAGAGGAUAUGCUACGUUAGAAAAAAAAACAUAGAAGAUUUCGAGUUUGGCUAUAUGAGUGCGAACUAUUAUGUUCAGCCUUUAGGUUCCGUUUCGUGCCCAACACUUCUUCCGAAACUGGUUUUGAUUCCGUUUUUGUUGUAUGUGUGCAGUUUUCAGAAUGGAGACUCACGCACCGAUAUGACCGAUCAACUAGACUCUACUUAUUAUUGCUUUUCCUUGUCUAGCCACCUUGCAUGACCAAAGAUCUAAAUGAUUUAUUGCUUUUCCCAUGCCUUAGGUAAAUGUUUCUUUUUUCUAAGCCUACGUUAGUUUCAAAAUGCACAAGUUUAGUUACCGAAAAUGUAAGUUUGAUUUUUUUCAAAAAGAAAGUGUAGAGUGGAUUUUGGACGUUUUUAAAAAGUGUGAAAUACACUUUUUUAGUAAACAUUUGUACUUAUAUGAAAAAAAAUAACCUAUUACUGCUUACUAUUGAAAUGUGUGUGCCAUGGUUAUUGAUUAUUUAGAGCCCACUUUGGUAUCCAUUGCCUAUCCAACACUCUAUCUAAACAUCAAAACACUAUUUCCAUAACACCAAGUAAGAAAUCAUUGCCUUGUGAACGUAUAUAUACACGUUUAUUUGAUAAGAAAUGUCCAAACAUCAACCACGAGGGGAAGCACCUCGUGUAAUGAUAUCCAACCAAAACUACAUACUUACGUGAAUAAACAUUGUGACUCAUUAGCACAGUCAGUUUGUGUUGCAAGUACAAUAUGAUAUCAUACUUCACAUACAAAAGUGUGGUGUACUUGGAUAAAGCAUUACUGACCAUUGUAAUUCCGUGUGAGAAUAUAUAACAAAAUGUUUAGUUUUGUGUAACCAAGGUAAAGUAAUGCAAUGUCCCUCGCAUAUGUAUUCCUCCUCUGGAAUACAUUCAUCCAUCCUCUCGUCCUCCGAUAUGUAUAGAGUAGGCCACAAUAGGUUAAUGGGGGAAAGUUGUUUGUAAUUAGGUAUUGUGUAACAUUCAAUAUAAUCAUUAGCCUAAGACUAUACCAAAAAUUUGCAAAUGAAGAGCAAAAGGAAGAUAUUUUGUUUAAUUGUGAUGCAAGAAGCCGCUUAACUACACUAUUUAGGUGGGCCAACACGUGUAGGCGGACCAGGUGGUAUAUAUUGUUGGUGUUGGAUUUCCAUUUUAGGCUCACUGAAACUUCAUGGGGUGUUUGUUUUUCCGGGCAUGCGUCAUGGAUAGCUAGGAAUUAAAUGUUUACUUUGUAGAUGUGUCCUUAGUUUUUUCCCAUAUUUCAUGUUCGAUAUGAUUUGUUCUCUUAAAUUGGUUAAGAAAAAUUGGAAAUAACUAACAAAGAUAAAAAAAACAUCAUGUCAUCGAAAAUCCACCCCCUCCGCUCGCACGAUAUUGCUUUGAAAAAUGGAAAUAAUCCCUUCAUGUCAUGGAAGAUCUACAUCCUUCCACUCACGAGAUAUCGCAUCAUCUAACGUGGGUCAGUUUUCCCCCUUCCCUCAUAGAAUAUCGUGUCGUAAUGCAUGAGAUAUAUCCUGAAUUCCACUUAUUGUAGCACGCCAAUAAAUUCUCUUGCCACGCCGCAAUUUGAGAUGUACCGGAAGCCUCCCCACCAUCCGAUAUUAAUGACACAUGUAAGCAAAGUGAGGGGUGGGUCUUGGGACUUGCGAGAGGCCAUGCGAGAGCCGCAAUGCUUGGGUUGUUGACCCCAUUUAUUCUUCACGUGGAUCGCUUCUAGAUGGUCUCACGCUCAAGUUGGUCACCUCCCAUGGCUAAGCCUGGCAUCUGGUGUAAACUAAACUUAGGUUAGUAAAUUUUGGUGUUUCUAUAUUUGUUGUUCGAUUCUGUUUUCAAUGUAUUCCAAAAGGAUAGAAUGCAUUAGGCUAAGUAAGUAUAUGGAUACCUUCAACGCUUGGUGCCCCACCAUAUUAAAUAGAAAAUGUCCCUACCCCAUUUUGUGUAGCCAUACGAUGUGGGAGAAAUCACGAAACGGACAAGCCCCAUGAGAGAGACUGAUUGGAUUGGUGGAGAAGAAGAAGUUUUGUAGAAUAUUAGGCCUUGCGUAGUUGCAUACAAUGUUGAGGUGAAGAUCCAUAUGGUGCGGAUGUUUCCUUGUCAAACGGGCCAAAUAUCCCCUAAAUGGGCCAUCGGACGAUGAAAUCGAUCUUAGUACAUUACCGAUUUGGCUAACGGAUUAUGAAAUCCCUAGUAUGUUUAAGUUGGGUUUGAGUUAGAGGAGCGAGAGUCGAGGUGUUUGCGGUUCUAGAGGAUUGCCGAAGAUGCCCUAAGAGACUUUAUGACUUGUUCUCACACAUUGCUCGUAUUAAAACUACAAUACGAAAUCAUACUUCUCCUGCACAAAUGUGUGGUGUACCGAGAUAAAGCAAUAGAGACAAUUGGAGUUACGUGUGAGAACAUAUUAAAAAUAAUUUCAGUUUUGUGCAAUCAAGGGAAAGUAAAGUAAUGUCUUUCUCAUAUUUAUGCUCGCACUGAUCACAUUCAUCCAUCCACUCGUCCUUAUAGUUGUAUAGAGUAGGGCACAAUAGGGACAUGGGAGAGUGUUUUUUGUAGUUAGGCGGUAACUUUUACAAUCAUACAAGACAAUCAUUGGCCUAGAGCCUAUACCAUACAUAUGCAAAUAAAGUGCAAAAGGAAGAAUGUUUAAAUGUAAAGCAAGAAGCUGCUUAACUACACUAUUCAGGCGGGCCAACAUGUGUGGGAGGAGUAGGUGGUAUUUUUGGGGUGAAUUUCCAUUUUAAGCUCAUUGGAACUCGAUGGGGAUGUUUGCUUUUCGGGUGUGCCCCAUGGUCAGCUAGCCAGCUAAUGCUAGCAUUGUAGAUGUGCCCUUUGUUUUUUCCCGUAUUUCAAGAUAGAUAUGCAUUUUCUUUCUUAAAUUCAUUAAGAAAACAUGGAAAUAACUAGCAACAAUGAAAAGCACAUCACCUCAUUGCGGAUCACCCCCCCCCCCCGACUCCAUUCGCGUGAGAUCGCUUUGGAAAAAUGCAAAUUAUGACUUCACGUCAUGGAAGAUCCACACCCUUCCACUCACACGAGAUCACAUCAUCUAACCCAAGACCCGUCUUACCCCUUUCCUCACACAGAAUCACAUCAUAACGUGUGACAUAUAUCCUAAGGUCUAGCAUGACAACAAAUUAUCUAGCCACCCCGCCACUUGAGACAUACCGAAACCCACCCCACCAUGUGACAUUAAACAUACAUGUAAGAAAGCGAUGGGUGGGCUUGGGACUUAUGAGAGGUCAUGCGAGAGAUAGAAUGCUUGGGCUAUCAAUCCACUUUCUCCUCCCUCAUGAAUCGCUUCUCGAUGGUCCCACGCUCAUGUUGCACACCUCACGUGGCCGAGCCUGGCAUUUGGUAUAUACCAAACUUCGGUUAUUAAGUUUUAUUGUUUCUAUAUUUUCGUUUUGAUUCCGUUGUCUAAGUAAAAUGGAAAUAACUAGCAACAGUGAAAAACCCAUCACAUCAGUGAAUAUCACCCCCACUCCACUCACAUGAGAUCGCUUUGAAAAAAUGAAAACUAUUACUUCACAUCAUUGAAGAUCCACACCCUUCCACUCACACAAGAUCACAUCAUCUAACCCGAGAUUUGUGUGACCCUUCUCCUCACAAAAGAUCAUGUCAUAACGUGUUACAUAUAUCCUAAUGUCUAGCAUGACAAUAAAUUCUCUAGCCGCCCUACCACUUGAGACGUACCGAAACCCACACCACCAUCUGACAUGAAACAUGCAUGUAAGAAAACGAGGUGUGGGUUUUGGGCCUUAUGAGAGGUCAUGCAAGAACCACAAAGCUUGUGUUGUGAAUCCCCCUUAUCCUCCCUUGUGGAUCGCUGCUUGACGAUCCCAUGAACAUGUUGGGCACCUCAGAUGGCUGACCCUGGCAUUAGCUACAUAAACUUCGGUUAGUAAGUUUUGGUGGUUCUGUAUUUCCUUUUUGAUUCGGUUUUCGACUUAUACUGAAAGAGUAUCCCAUUUCCGGUUCGCCAAGGAUAUGGAUGCCUUCCACCCGAGGCAUACCACCCUUUUAAAUAGGCAGGCUUCUGCCCCCAUUUUCUGCAGCCUGGUGAUGUGGUACUAAUAACCAAAUGGACAAGCCCCACGUGAGAGACUCAUUGGUGUGGGUAACAAAAAUAGGUUUUGUAGAUUAUUGGGCAUUGCCUAUUUGCCUACGGUAUUGAGUUGGAUGGCCCACGUGACUGAUUGGGUCUUCCCUGACUUGCACACACGACCACAUGGCACUCACCUUAACCUUAGGGGAGCGACUCUAUGUCGACUAUUGUGAGACGAAACAAGGUGUCGCCUAGAGUGCUUACAAAAUGGGCUAGAACACCAUGCUGGGCGACCAUCGGCCUUAAGAGUUGAUUUUUUAUCUUCUUUUUUUCUCUGUUUUAUAUUUACUUUAACAGUUGUCCAUUAUAUUUCACAUUUUAUGCUCAUAUAUAUCCACCCCUGUAACUGCUCAGCUACCGACCCACUACAAUCACUAGGAAAAUGCUCGUGCAUUUCUACAUGCAACAUGAAUCCAUUAAUCACAAUUUAGCAAAUGCGUACACCAAUAAGUGAAGCAUUGUUUGAUAUCAUAGUUGAAUGUCCAUUAUUCGAUAUCAUAGGUCAAUAUCCAUGAAAUGCGACCAGAUAUACAUUACUAUGAUGACCAAAGGCAUGAGAAACACAAAAAUCAAGCACAACAAAAUAUUUCCCAACAACUGCCAAAGAAAAAGAUAGCAAAUAACAACUUAAAGAAACCAACAUCGCAACAUAUGAAUUAAACAAAACUAAGAAGCCUUUGAACAAACAAGAUUUAACAUGAUACUAAUUGGGUAUGCUUAAUUUGCACGAUACAAUGGUUCACGAGGAAACAAGUUUGUGCUGAGUGAUACAAGUUUGUUCUAUUCAACAAAACACAUCAAAUAUCCCGACUUAGGCAUUUAUAUCAAAAGUAUUCAAAAUCUUUAUCUAGAUAGAUCCAAAAAAAUAUAAAAGGAUGAGAACUUCCAAAUAAUCUUAUAGAUUCUGAAUCUAGCAACAUGGGUAUCAAUUCUACACUUUCCACAUAGGCGAUACAAUUUUAACUAGUGGGUUAUGCUAGUUUCCCGAAACAAGAUCAAUCGGGAGGUUGGUGUUAAUUCACCUAGGUAUAGAACCUUAUUUCGCUGAACACCAAUCCAAAGCACCAUGCUUGUUGCUUCGAAGAUCACUUGUAGAGCUGGUGCGUCUCGGGACAAUGAGAGACUAGAGGAGUAGGCGACACUAUUUGUCCUUGAGGCGGGCCUACUACUGGUCGGGUCAGACUCUGCUGUGCAUCACAAUUCUUGAUCUUGUUUGGAAUUGAAGAUUGGUCCCGAGGCAGGAUGGCGCUCACACGAGGGCUUGAUAAGUUGCAUUAGAGUGUGCUUUGAGGAUCACUUGAAUACUCAGAGCAACACCGAUUAUAGAGAGCAUGGGGAAUGCUUAGUUUCUUGAAGGCUAUGCUUUGUUUUGUGCUAGAGUAUUUAGAUGUUGUCAGAUAGAGUUGGGCCAUGAGAUUAUAUUGAGAAAUUGAAGGGCAAAAGUUAAGAGAAAUUUGAGUUGUUCUUUAUGGAUGGCGAUAGGCCCAAGUUGCAUGUUUGUUGGUUUUGGGUGAUGAGAAUUGGAGAUUGGGAGGAAAGAGGAUAUGCUUGGUUAGAAAAAAAACAUUAAAGAUUUCGAGUUUGUCUAUAUCAGUGCGAACUAUUAGGUUCAGCCUUUAGAUUCAAUUAUCCGCCCAACACUUCUUCUGAAACUGGUUUUGAUUCCGUUUUUGUUGUAUGUGUGCAGUUUUCAGAAUGGAGACUCACGCACCGUUUAUGACCAAUCAACUAGACUCUACUUAUUAUUGCUUUUCCUUGUCUAGCCACCUUGCAUGACCAAAGAUCUAAAUGAUUUAUUGCUUUUCCCAUGCCUUAGGUAAAUGUUUCUUUUUUUCUAAGCCUACGUUAGUUUCAAAAUGCGCAAGUUUAGUUAGCCGAAAAUGUAAGUUUGAUUUUUUUUCAAAACGAAAGUUUAGAGUGGAUUUUGGAUGUUUUUACAAAGUGUGAAAUACACUUUUUUAGAAAAAAUUUGUACUUAUAUGACAAAAUAACCUAUUACUGCUUACUAUUGAAAUGUGUGUGUCAGGGUUAUUGAUUAUUUAGAGCGCACUGUGGUAUCCAUUGCCUAUCCAACACUCUAUCCAGUCAUCAAAACACUAUUACCGUAACACCAAGUAAAAAAUCAAUGCCUUGUGAAUGUAUAUAUACACUUUUAUUUGAUAAGAAGUGUUAUCCUCAACCACGAGGGGAAGCGCCUCGUGUAACGAUCUCCAACCAAAACUACAAACUUACGUGAAUAAACAUUGUGACUCAUUAGCACAGUUAGCUUGUAUUGCAAGUACAAUAUGAUAUCAUACUUCACAUGCACAAGUGUGCUGUACUUGGAUAAAGCAUUAGUGACCAUUGUAAUUCCGUGUGAGAAUAUAUAGAAAGAUUUUUAGUUUUGGGUAACCAAGGGAAUGUAAUGCAAUGUCCCUCGCAUAUGUAUUCCUCCUCUAGAAUACAUUCAUCCAUCCUCUCGUCCUCCGAUAUGUAUAGAGUAGGCCACAAUAGGUUAAUGGGAGAAAGUUGUUUGUAAUGAGGUAUUGUGUACAUAACAUUCAAUAUAAUCACUGGCCUAAGAAUAUACCAAAAAUUUGCAAAUGAAGAGCAAAAGGAAGAUAUUUUGUUUAAUUGUGAUGCAAGAAGCCGCUUAACUACACUAUUUAGGUGGGCCAACACAUGUAGGCGGACCAGGUGGUAUAUAUUGUUGCUGUUGGAUUUCCAUUAAUUCUAGGCUCACUAGAACUUCAUGGGGUGUUUGUUUUUAUGGGCAUGCGCCACGGAUAGCUAGCAAGUAAAUUUUUGCUUUGUAGAUGUGUCCUUACUUUCUUCCCAUAUUUCAUGUUGGAUAUGAUUUGUUCUCUUAAAUUGGUUAAGAAAAAUUGGAAAUAACUAACAAAGAUAAAAAAACAUCAUGUGAUCGAAGAUCCACCCCCUCCGCUCGCACGAUAUUGCUUUGAAAAAUGGAAAUAAUUCCUUCAUGUCAUGGAAGAUCAACAUCCUUGCACUCACGCGAUAUCGCAUCAUCUAACGUGGGUCAGUCUUCCCCCUUUCCUCACAGAAUAUCGUGUCGUAAUGCAUGAGAUAUAUCCGGAAGUCCACUUAUUGUAGCACGACAAUAAAUUCUCUAGCCACGCCGCAAUUUGAGACGUACGGAAGCCUCCCCACCAUCCGAAAUUAAUGACACAUGUAAGCAAAGUGAGGGGUGGGUCUUGGGACUUACGAGAGGCCAUGCAAGAGCCGCAAUGCUUGGGUUGUUGACCCCAUUUAUUCUCCACGUGGAUCGCUUCUUGAUGGUCUCACGCUUGAGUUGGUCACCUCCCAUGGCUAAGCCUGGCAUCUGGUGUAAACUAAACUUAGGUUAGUAAAUUUUGGUGUUUCUAUAUUUGUUGUUCGAUUCUGUUUUCAGUUUAUUCCUAAAGGGUAGAAUGCAUUAGGCUAACUAAAAAUAUGGAUACCUUCAACGCUCAGCACCCCACCAUAUUAAAUAGGAAAGGUCCCUACCCCAUUUUGUGUAGCCAUACGAUGUGGGAGAAAUCACGAAACGGACAAGCCCCACGGGAGAAACUGAUUGGAUUGGUUAAGAAGAAGUUUUGUAGAAUAUUAGGCCUUGCAUAGUUGCAUACAAUGUUGAGGUGAAGAUCCAUAUGGUGCGGAUGUUUCCUUUUCAAACCUGUCUCUUAUACACAUCUNGUUAGAGGAGCGAGAGUCGAGGUGUUUGCAGUUCUAGAGGAUUGCCAAAGAUGCCUAAGAGACUUUAUGACUUGUUCUCACACAUUGCUCGUCUUAAAACUACAAUAGGAAAUCAUACUUCGCAUGCACAAAUGUGUGGUGUACCCAGAUAAAGCAAUAAAGACAAUUGUAGUUAUGUGUGAGAACAUAUUAAAAAUAAUUUCAGUUUUGUGCAAUCAAGGGAAAGUAAAGUAAUGUCCUUCUCAUAUUUAUGCUCGCACUGAUCACAUUCAUCCAUCCACUCGUCCUUAUAGUUGUAUAGAGUAGGGCACAAUAGGGCCAUGGGAGAGUGUUUUUUUGUAAUUAGGCGGUAAGUGUGUAGAAGAUAUACAAGACAAUCAUUGGCCUAGAGCCUAUACAAUCCAUAUGCAAAUAAAGUGCAAAAGGAAGAAUGUUUAAUUGUAAAGCAAGAAGCCGCUUAACUAUACUAUUUACGCGGGCCAACAUGUGUGGGAGGAGUAGGUGGUAUUUUUGGGGUGAAUUUUCAUUUUAAGCUCAUUGGAACUCGAUGGGGAUGUUUGCUUUUCGGGUGUGCCCCAUGGACAGCUAGCCAGCUAAUGUUAGCAUUGUAGAUGUGCCCUUUGUUUGUUCCCGUAUUUCAAGAUAGAUAUGCAUUUUUUUUCUUAAAUUGGUUAAGAAAACAUGGAAAUAACUAGCAACAAUGAAAAACACAUCACCUCAUUGAGGAUCACCCCCCCCCCCCGACUCCACUCGCUUGAGAUCGCUUUGGAAAAAUGCAAAUUAUGACUUCACGUCAUGGAAGAUCCAGACCCUUGCACUCACACGAGAUCACAUCAUCUAACCCAAGAUCUGUCUUACCCCUUUCCUCACAGAAAAUCACAUGAUAACGUGUGACAUAUAUCCUAAGGUCUAGCAUGACAACAAAUUCUCUAGCCACCCCGCCACUUGAGACAUACCGAAACGCACCCCACCAUGUGACAUUAAACAUACAUGUAAGAAAGCGAGGGGUGGGCUUGGGACUUAUGAGAGGUCAUGCGAGAUAUAGGAUGCUUGGGCUAUCAAUCCACUUUCUCCUCCCUCGUGCAUCGCUUCUCGAUAGUUCCACACCCAUGUUGCACACCUCACGUGGCCGAGUCUGGCAUUUGGUAUAUACCAAACUUCGGUUAUUAAGUUUUGUUGUUUCUAUAUUUCCGUUUUAAUUCCGUUGGUUAAGUAAAAUGGAAAUAACUAGCAACAGUGAAAAACCCAUCACACCGGUGAAGAUCACCCCCAAUCCACUCACAUGAGAUCGCUUUGAAAAAAUGAAAUUUAUUACUUCACAUCAUUGAAGAUCCACACCCUUCCACUCACACGAGAUCACAUCAUCUAACCCGAGAUUUGUCUGACCCUUUUCCUCACACAAGAUCAUGUCAUAACGUGUGACAUAUAUCCUAAUGUCUAGCAUGACAAUAAAUUCUCUAGACGCCCUACCACUUGAGACGUACCGAAACCCACACCACCAUGUGACAUGAAACAUGCAUGUAAGAAAACGAGGCGUGGGUUUUUGGCCUUAUGAGAGGUCAUGCAAGAGCCACAAAGCUUGGGUUGUCAAUCCCCUUUAUCCUCCCUUGUGGAUCGCUGCUUGACGAUCCCAUGACCAUGUUGGGUACCUCACAUGGCUAACCCUGGCAUUUGCUACAUGAACUUCGGUUAGUAAGUUUUGGUGUUUCUAUAUUUCCUUUUUGAUUCGGUUUUAGACUUAUACUGAAAGAGUAUCCCGUGUCCGGUUCACCAAGGAUAUGGAUGCCUUCCACCCGAGGCAUACCCCCUAUUAAAUAGUUAGGCUUAUGCCCCCAUUUUCUGCAGCCUAGUGAUGUGGUACUAAAAACCAAAUGGACAAGCCCCCCGGGAGAGACUCAUUGGUGUGGGUAAGAAAAAUAGGUGUUGUAGAUUAUUGGGCAUUGCCUAUUUGCCUACAAUAUUGAGGUGGAUGCACACAUGAGUUAUUGGGUCUUCCCUGACUUGCACACACGACCACAUGGCGCUCACCUUAACCUUAGGGGAGUGACUCUGUGUCGACUAUUGUGAGACGAAACAAGGUGUCGCCUAGAGUGCUUACGAAAUUGGCUAGAACACCAUGCUGGGCGACCAUCGGCCUUAAGAGUUGAUUUUUAUCUUUUUUUUCUUUCUUUUAUAUUUAUUUUAACAGUUUUCCAUUAUAUUUCAUAGUUUAUGCUCAUAUAUAUCCACCCCUGUAACUGCUCAACUACCGACCCACUACAAUCACUAGGAAAAUGCUUGUGCAUUUCUACAUGCAACAUGAAUCCAUUAAUCACAAUUUAGCAAAUGCGUACACCAAUAAGUGAAGCAUUGUUUGAUAUCUAGCUGAAUGUCCAUUAUUCGAUAUCAUAUGUCAAUAUCCAUGAAUUGCGACCAGAAAUAUAUUACUAUGAUGACCAAAGGCAUGAGAAACACAAAAAUCAAGCACAACAAAAUAUUUCCCAACAACUGCCAAAGAAAAAGAUUGCAAAUAACGACUUAAAGAAACCAACAUCCCAACAUAUGAAUUAAACAGAACUAACAAGCCUUUGAACAAACAAGAUUUAACAUGACACUGAUUGGGUAUGCUUAAUUUGCACGAUACAAUGGUUCACGGGGAAACAAGUUUGUGUUGAGUGAUACAAGUUUGGUCUAUUCAACAAAACACAUAAAAUUUCCUGACUUAGGCAUUUAUAUCAAAAGUAUUCAAAGUCUUUAUCUAGAUAGAUCCAAACAAAUAAACAAGGAUGAGAACUUCCAAAUAAUCUUAUAGAUUGUGAAUCUAGCAACAUGAGUAUCAAUUCUACACUUUCCACAUAGGCAAUACAAUUUUAACUAGUGGGUUAUGUUUGUUUCCCGAAACAAGAUCAAGCGGGAGGUUGGUGUUAAUUCACCUAGGUGUAGAACCUUCUUUCACUGAACACCAAUCCAAAGCACCAUGCUUGUUGCUUCGAGGAUCACUUGUAGAGCUGCUGCGUCUCGGGACAAUGAGGGACUAGAGGAGUAGGUGACACUAUCUUUCCUAGAGGCGGGCCUACUACUGGUUGGGUCAUACUCUGCUGUGCAUCACAAUUCUUCAUCUUGUUUGGAAUUGAAGAGUGGUCCCGAGGCAGGAUGGCGCUCCCACAAGGGCUUGAUAAGUUGCACUAGAGUGUCCUUUGAGGAUUACUUAAAGACUCAGAGCGGCACCGAUUAUAGAGGGCAUGGGGAAUGCUUAGUUUCUUGAAGGCUAUGCUUUGUUUUUUGCUAGACGAUUUAGAUGUGGUCAGAUGGAGUUGGGCCAUGAAAUUAAAUUGAGAAAUUGAAGGGCAAAAGUUAAGAGAAACUUAGAGUUGUUCUUUAUGGAUGGCGAUAGGCCCAAGUUGCAUGUUUGUUGGUUUUGGGUGAUGAGAAUUGGAGAUUGGGAGGAAAGAGGAUAUGCUACGUUAGAAAAAAAAAACAUUAAAGAAUUCGAGUUUGGCUAUAUCAGUGCGAACUAUUAUGUUCAGCCUUUAGAUUCAGUUAUGUGCCCAACACUUCUUCCGAAACUGGUUUUGAUUCCUUUUUAGUUGUAUGUGUGCAGUUUUCAGAAUGGAGACUCACGCACAGCUUAUGACCGAUCAAUUAGACUCUACUUAUUAUGGCUUUUCCUUGUCUAGCCACCUUUCAUGACCAAAGAUUUAAAUGAUUUAUUGCUUUUGCCAUGCCUUAGGUAAAUGUUUCCUUUUUUAAGCCUACGUUAGUUUCAAAAUGUGCAAAGUUUAGUUAGCCGAAAAUGUAAGUGUGAUUUUUUUCAAAAAGAAAGUGUAGAGUGGAUUUUGGACGUUUUUACAAAGUGUGAAAUACACUUUUUUAGAAAAUAUUUGUACUUAUAUGAAACAAUAACCUAUUACUGCUUACUAUUGAAAUGUGUGUGCAAGGGUUAUUGAUUAUUUAGAGCCCACUAUGGUAUCCAUUGUCUAUCCAACACUCUAUCCAAACAUCAAAACACUAUUACCGUAACAUCAAGUAAGAAAUCAAUGCCUUGUGAACGUAUAUAUACACAUUUAUUUGAUAAGAAAUGUUAUGCUCAACCACGAGGGGAAGCGCCUCGUGUAACGAUCUCCAACCAAAACUACAUACUUACGUGAAUAAACAUUGUGACUCAUUUGCACAGUUAGCUUGUAUUGCAAGUACAAUAUGAUAUCAUACUUCAUAUGCACAAGUGUGGUGUACUUGGAUAAAGCAUAAGUGACCAUUGUAAUUACGUGUGAGAAUAUAUAACAAGAUUUUUAGUUUUGGGUAACCAAGGGAAAGUAAUUCAAUGAACCUCGCAUAUGUAUUCCUCCUCUGGAAUACAUUCAUCCAUCCUCUCGUCCUCCGAUAUGUAUAGAGUAGGCCACAAUAGGUUAAUGGGGGAAAGUUGUUUGUAAUUAGGUAUUGUGUAGAAAACAUUCAAGAUAAUCAUUGGCCUAAGACUAUAUCAAAAAUUUGCAAAUGAAGAGGAAAAGGAAGAUAUUUUGUUUAAUUGUGAUGCAAGAAGCCGCUUAACUACACUAUUUAGGUAGGCCAACACGUGUAGGCGGACCAGGUGGUAUAUAUUAUUGGUGUUGGAUUUCCAUUUUAGGCUCACUGGAACUUCAUGGGGUGUUUAUUUUUAUGGGCGUGCGCCAUGGAGAGCUAGCGAGUAAAUGUUUGCUUUGUAGAUGUGUCCUUAGUUUCUUCCCAUAUUUCAUGUUGGAUAUGAUUUGUUCUCCUAAAUUGGUUAAGAAAUAUUGGAAAUAGCUAACAAAGAUAAAAAAAACAUCAUGUCAUCGAAGAUCCACCCCCUCCGCUCGCACGAUAUUGCUUUGAAAAAUGGAAAUAAUCCCUUCAUGUCAUGGAAGAUCUACAUCCUUCCACUCACGCGAUAUCGCAUCAUCUAACCUCGGUCAGUCUUCCCCCUUUCCUCACAAAAUAUCGCGUCGUAUUGCAUGAGAUAUAUCCUGAAGUCCACUUAUUGUAGAACGACAAUAAAUUCUCUAGCCAACCUGCCAUUUGAGAUGUACCGGAAGCCUCCCCACCAUCCGAAAUUAAUGACACAUCUAAGCAAAGUGAGGGGUGGGUCUUGGGACUUACGAGAGGCCAUGCGAGAGCCGCAAUGCUUGGGUUGUUGACCCCAUUUAUUCUCCACGUGGAUCGCUUCUUAAUGGUCUCACGCUCGAGUUGGUCACCUCCCAUGGCUAAGCCUGGCAUCUGGUGUAAACUAAACUUAGGUUAGUAAAUUUUGGUGUUUCUAUAUUUGUUGUUCGAUUCUGUUUUCAAUUUUUUUCUAAAGGGUAGAAUGCAUUAGGCUAACUAAGGAUAUGGAUACCUUCAACACUUGGCACCCCACCAUAUUAAAUAGAAAAGGGGCCUACCUCAUUUGACGUAGCCACACGAUGUGGGAGAAAUCACGAAACAGACAAGCCCCACGAGAGAGACUGAUUGGAUUGGUUGCGAAGAAGAAGUUUUGUAGAAUAUUAGGCCUUGCGUAGUUGCAUACAAUGUUGAGGCGAAGAUCCAUAUUGUGCAGAUGUUUCGUUGUCAAACGGGCCAAAUAUCCCCUAAAUGGGUCAUCGGACGAUGAAAUCGAUCUUAGGACACUACCGAUUUGGCUAACGGCUUAUCAAAUCCCUAGUAUUUUGAAGUUGGGUUUGAGAUAGAGGAGCGAGGGUCGAUGUGUUUGCGGUUCUAGAGGAUUGCCAAAGAUGCCCUAAGAGACUUUAUGACUUGUUCUCACACGUUGCUCGUAUUAAAACUACAAUAGGAAAUCAUACUUCACAUGCACAAAUGUGUGGUGUACCUAGAUAAAGCAAUAGAGACAAUUGUAGUUACGUCUGACAACAUAUUAAAAAUAAUUUCAGUUUUUUGCAAUCAAGGGAAAGUAAAGUAAUGUCCUUCUCAUAUUUAUGCUCGCACUGAUCAUUUUCAUCCAUCCACUCGUCCUUAUAGCUGUAUAGAGUAGGUCACAAUAGGGCCAUGGGAGAGUGUUGUUUGUAAUUAGGUGGUAACUAUGUACAAGACAUACAAGGCAAUCAUUGUCCUAGAGCCUAUACCAUCCAUAUGGAAAUAAAGUGCAAAAGGAACAAAUUUUGUUUAACUCUAAAGCAAGACUUCGCUUAACUACACUAUUUAGACACGCCAACAUGUGUGGGAGGACUAGGUGGUAUUUUUGCGGUGAAUUUCCAUUUUAAGCUCAUUGGAACUCGAUGGGGAUGUUUGCUUUUUAGGUGUGACCCAUGGACAGUUAGCCAGCAAAUGCUAGCAUUGUAGAUGUGCCCUUUGUUUUUUCCCGUAUUUCAAGAUAGAUAUGCAUUUUUUUUCUUAAAUUGGUUAAGAAAACAUGGAAUUAACUAGCAACAAUGAGAAACACAUCACAUCAUUGAGGAUCACCCCCCCCCUCCGCCUCCACUCGCUUGAGGUCGCUUUGGAAAAAUGCAAAUUAUGACUUCACGUCAUGGAAGAUCCACACCCUUCCACUCACAUGAGAUCACAUCAUCUAACCCAAGAUCCGUCUUACCCCUUUCCUCACAGAAAAUCACAUCAUAAUGUGUGACAUAUAUCCUAAGGUCUAGCAUGAAAACAAAUUCUCUAGCCACCCCGCCACUUGAGACAUACCGAAACCCACCCCACCAUGUGACAUUGAACAUACAUGUAAGAAAGCGAAGGGUGGGCUUGGGAGUUAUGAGAGGUCACGCAAGAGAUAGAAUGCUUGGGCUAUCAAUCCACUUUAUCCUCCCUCGUGAAUCGCUGCUCGAUGGUCCCACGCUCAUGUUGGACACCUCACAUGGCCGAGCCUGGCAUUUGGUAUAUAUAUUUCCUUUUUGACUCAGUUGAUUAAGGAAAAUGGAAAUAACUAGCAACAAUGAAAAACCCAUCACAUCACUGAAGAUCACCCCCACUCCACUCACAUGAGAUCGCUUUGAAAAAAUGAAAAUUAUCACUUCACAUCAUUGAAGAUCCACACCCUUCCACUCACACGAGAUCACAUCAUCUAACCCAAGAUCUGUAUUCCCCUUUUCCUCACACAAGAUCAUUUCAUAACGUGUGACAUAUAUCCUAAUGUCUAGCAUGACAAUAAAUUCUCGCCCUGCCACUUGAGAUGUACCGAAACCCACACCAGAAUCUGACAUGAAACAUAAAUGUAAGAAAACGAGGCGUGGGUUUUGGUCCUUAUGAGAGGUCAUGCAAGAGCCACAAAGCUUGGGUUGUCAAUCCCCUUUAUCCUCCCUUGUGGAUCGCUGCUCGACGAUCCCAUGACCAUGUUGGGCACCUCACAUGGCUGGCCCUGGCAUUUGGUAUAUAAACUUAGGUAAGUAAGUUUUAGUGUUUCUAUAUUUCCUUUUUGAUUCGGUUUUCGACUUAUACUGAAAGAGUAUCCCGUGUCCGGUUCACCAAGGAUAUGGAUGCCUUCCACCCGAGGCAUACCACCCUAUUAAAUAGUCAAGCUCCUGCCCCCAUUUUCUGUAGCCUGGUGAUGUGGUACUAAUAACCAAAUGGACAUGCCCCACGGGAGAGAUUCAUUGGUGUGGGUAAGAAAAAUAGGUUUUGUAGAUUAUUGGGCAUUGCCUAUUUGCAUAUAGUAUUGAGGUGGAUGGCCCACAUGAGUGAUUAGGUCGUCCCUGACUUGCACACACGACCACAUGACACUUACCUUAUCCUUAGGGGAGCGACUCAGUGUUGACUAUUGUGAGAUGAAAUAAGAUGUCGCUUAGAGUGCUUACGAAAUGGGCCAGAAUACCAUGUUGGGCGACCAUCAGACUUAAGAGUUGAUUUUUUAUCUUCUUUUUUUCUNNNNNNUUUUAACAGUUGUCAUUCUAUUUCACAGUUUAUGAUCAUAUGUAUCCAACCCUGUAACUUCUCAAUUACCAAGCCACUACAAUCACUAGGAAAAUGCUUGUGCAUUUCUACAUCCAGCAUGAAUCUAUUAAUUACAAUUUAGCAAAUGCGUACACCAAUAAGUGAAGCAUUGUUUGAUAUCAUAGUUGAAUGUCCAUUAUUCGAUAUCAUAGGUUAAUAACCAUGAAUUGCGACCACAUAUAUAUUACUAUAAUGACCAAAGGCAUGAGAAACACAAAAAAUCAAGCACAACAUAAUAUUUCACAACAACUGCCAAAAAAAAGAGAAACCAACAUCGCAACAUAUGAAUGAAACAAAACUAAGAAGCCUUUGAACAAACAACAUUUAACAUGAUACUAGUUGGGUAUGCUCAAUUUGCACGAUCCAAUGGUUCACGAGGAAACAAGUUUGUGUUGAGUGAUACAAGUUUGGUCUAUUCAACAAAACACAUCAUAUUUCCUGACUUAGGCAUUUAUCUCAAAAGUAUUCAAAGUCUUUAUCUAGAUAGAUCCAAACAAAUAUACAAGGAUGAGAACUUCCAAAUAAUCUUAUAGAUUGUGAGUCUAGCAACAUGAGUAUCAAUUCUACACUUUCCACAUAGGCAAUACAAUUUUAACUAGUGGGUUGUGCUUGUUUCCCGAAACAAGAUCAAGCGGCAGGUUGGUGUUAAUUCACCUAGGUGUAGAACCUUCUUUAGCUGAACACCAAUCCAAAGCACCAUGCUUGUUGCUUCGAAGAUCACUUGUAGAGUUGGUGCGUCUCGGGACGACGAGGGACUAGAGGACUAGGUGGCACUAUUUUUCUGAGAGGCGGGCCUACUACUGGUCGGGUCAGACUCUGCUAUGCAUCACAAUUCUUGAUCUUGUUUGGAAUUGAUGAGGGGUCCCGAGGAAGGAUGGGGCUCACAAGAGGGCUUGAUAAGUUGCAUUAGAGUGUGCUUUCAGGAUCAUUUGAAGACUCACAGCGGCACCGAUUAUAGAGAGCAUUGGGAAUGCUUAGUUCCUUGAAGCCUACGAUUUGUUUUGUGCUAGAGGAUUUAGAUUUGUUCAUAUGGAGUUGGGCCAUGUAAUUAUAUUGAGAAAUUGAAGGGAAAAACUUAAGAGAAACGUAGAGUUGUUCUUUAUGGAGGGCGAUAGGCCCAAGUUGCAUCUUUGUUGGUUUUGGGUGAUGAGAAUUGGAGAUUGGGAGGAAAUAGGAUAUGCUACGAUAGAAAAAAAAACAUUGAAGAUUUCGAGUUUGGCUAUAUCAGUGUGAGCUAUUAUGUUCAGCCCUUAGAUUCAGUUUUGUGCCCAACAGUUCUUCCGAAACUGGUUUUGAUUCCGUUUUUGUUGUAUGUGUGCAGUUUUCGGAAUGGAGACUCCCGCACCACUUAUGACCGAUCAACUAGACUCUACUUACUAUCGCUUUUCGAUGUCUAGCCACCUUGCAUGACCAAAGAUCUAAAUGAUUUAUUGCUUUUGCCAUACCUUCGGUAAAUGUUUCUUUUUUCGAAGCCUACGUUAGUUUCAAAAUGUGCAAGUUUAGUUAGCCGAAAAUGUAAGUUCGAUUUUUUUUCAAAAAGAAAGUGUAGAGUGGAUUUUGGAUGUUUUUACAAAGUGUGAAAUACACUUUUUUAGAAAACAUUUGUACUUAUAUGAGAAAAUAACCUAUUACUGCUUAGUAUUUAAAUAUGUGUGCUAGGGGUAUUGAUUAUUUAGAGCCCACUGUGGUAUCCAUUGCCUAUCCAACACUCUAUCCAAACAUCAAAACACUAUUACCGUAACACCAAGUAAGAAAUCAAUGCCUUGUGAAGGUAUAUAUACACAUUUAUUUGAUAAGAAAUGUUAUCCUCAACCACGAGGGGAAGCGCCUCGUGUAACGAUACUCAGCAAAAACUACUUACUUACGUGAAUAAACAUUGUGACUCAUUAGCACACAGUUAGCUUGUAUUGAAAGUACAAUAUGAUAUCAUACUCCACAUGCACAACAGCACAAGUGUGGUGUACUUGGGUAAAGAAUUAGUGACCAUUGUAAUUCCGUGUGAGAAUAUAUAACAAGAUUGUUAGCUUUGGGUAACCAAGGGAAAGUAAUGCAAUGUCCCUCGCAUAUAUAUUCCUCCUUUGGAAUAAAUUCAUCCAUCCUCUCGCCCUCCGAUAUGUAUAGAGUAGGGCACAAUAGGUUAAUGGGGCAAAGUUGUUUGUAAUUAGGUAUUGUUUACAAAACAUUCAAGAUAAUCAUUGUCCUAAGACUAUACCAAAUAUUUGCAAAUGAAGAGCAAAAGUAAGAUAUUUUGUUUAAUUGUGAUGCAAGAAGCCGCUUAACUACACUAUUUAGGUGGGCCAACACGUGUAGGCGGACCAGGUGGUAUAUAUUGUUGGUGUUGGAUUUCCAUUUUAGGCUCACUUCAACUUCAUGGGGUGUUUGUUUUUAUGGGCGUGUGCCAUGGAUAGCUAGCGAGUAAAUGUUUGCUUUGUAGAUGUGUCCUAAGUUCUUCCCAUAUUUCAUGUUCGAUAUGAUUUGUUCUCUUAAAUUGGUUAACAAAUAUUGGAAAUAACUAACAAACAUAAAAACAUCAUGUCAUCGAAGAUCUACAUCCUUCCACUCAUGCGAUAUCGCAUCAUCUAACCUGGGUCAGUCUUCCCCCUUUCCUCACAGAAUAUCGCGUCGUAAUGCAUGAGAUAUAUCCUGAAGUCCACUUAUUGUAGCAUGAUGAUAAAUACUCUAGCCACCCCGCCAUUUGAGACGUACCGGAAGCCUCCCCACCGUUCGAAAUUAAUGACACAUGUAAGCAAAGUGGGGGUGGGUCUUGGGACUUACGAGAGGCCAUGUGAGAGCCGCAAUGCUUGGGUUGUUGACCCCAUUUAUUCUCCACGUCGAUCGCUUCUUGAUGGUCUCACGCUCGAGUUGGUCACCUCCCAUGGCUAAGCCUGGCAUCUGGUGUAAACUAAACUUAGGUUAGUAAAUUUUGGUGUUUCUAUAUUUGUUGUUUGAUUCUGUUUUCAAUUUAUUCCUAAAGGGUAGGAUGCAUUAGGCUAACUGAGGAUAUGGAUACCUUCAAUGCUUGGCACCCCACCAUAUUAAAAAUAAAUGGUCCCUACCCCAUUUUGUGUAGCCACACGAUGUGGGAGAAAUCACGAAAGGGACAAGCCCCACGGGAGAGACUGAUUGGAUUGGUUGAGAAGAAGAAGUUUUGUAGGAUAUUAGGCCUCGCGUAGUUGCAUACAAUGUUGAGGUGAAGAUCGAUAUGGUGCGGAUGUUUCCUUGUCAAACGGGCCAAAUAUCCCCUAUAUGGGUCAUCAGACGAUGAAAUCGAUCUUAGGACACUACCGAUUUAGCUAACGGCUUAUCAAAUCCCUAGUAUUUUUAAGUUGGGUUUGAGUUAGAGGAGCGAGAGUCGAGUGUAUGCGGUUCUAGAGGAUUGCCAAAGAUGCCCUAAGAGACUUUAUGAAUUAUUCUCACACAUUGCUCGUAUUAAAACUACAAUAGGAAAUCAUACUUCACAUGCAAAAAUGUGUGGUGUACCCAGAUAAAGCAAUAGAGACAAUUCUAUUUACGUGUGAGAACAUAUUAAAAUAAUUCCAGUUUCGUGCAAUCAAGGGAAAGUAAAGUAAUGUCCUUCUCAUAUUUAUGCUCGCACUAAUUACACUCAUCCAUCCACUCGUCCUUAUAGAUGUAUAGAGUAGGUCACAAUAGGGCCAUGGGAGAGUGUUCUUUUUAAUUAGGCGGUAACUCUGUACUAGACAUACAAGACAAUCAUUGGCCUAGAGCCUAUACUAUCCAUAUGCAAAUAAAGUGCAAAAGGAAGAAAUUUUGUUUAACUGUAAAGCAAGAAGCAGCUUAACUACACUAUUUAGGCGGGCCAACAUGUGUGGGAGGAGUAGGUGGUAUUUUUGCGGUGAAUUUCCAUUUUAACCUCAUUGGAACUCGAUGGGGAUGUUUGGUUUUUCGGUGUAACCCAUGGACAGCUAGCCAGCAAAUGCUAGCAUUGUAGAUGUGCCCUUUGUUUUUUCCCGUAUUUCAAGAUAGCUAUGCAUUUUUUGUCUUAAAUUGGUUAAGAAAACAUGGAAAUAACUAGAAACAAUGAAAAACACAUCAUGUCAUUGAGGAUCCCCCCCCCCCGGCCCCGCCUCCACUCGCUUGAGAUCAAUUUGAAAAAAUACAAAUUAUGACUUCACGUCAUGGAAGAUCCACACCCUUCCACUCACACGAGAUCACAUCAUCUAACCCAAGAUCCAUCUUACCCCUUGGCUCAUAGAAGAUCACAUCAUAAUGUGUGACAUAUAUCCUAAGGUCUAGCAUGACAACAAAUUCUCUAGCCACCCCGCCACAUGAGACAUACCGAAACCCACCCCACCAUGUGACAUUAAACAUACAUGUAAGAAAGAGAGGGGUGGGCUUGGGACUUAUGAGAGGUCAUGCGAGAGAUAGAAUGCUUGGGCUAUCAAUCCCCUUUCCCCUCUCUCGCAAAUCGCUGCUCGAUGGUCCCACGGCCAUGUUGUACACCUCACGUGGCCGAGCCUGGCAUUUGGUAUAUACCUAACUUCGGUUAGUAAGUUUUGUUGUUUCUAUAUUUCCUUUUUGAUUCCGUUGGUUAAGUAAAAUGGAAAUAACUAGCAACAGUGAAAAACCCAUCACAUCACUGAAGAUCACCCCACUCCACUCACAUGAGACCGCUUUGCAAAAAUGAAAAUAAUAACUUCACAUCAUUGAAGAUCCACACCCUUCCACUCAUACGAGAUCACAUCAUCUAACCUGAGAUCUGUCUUCCCCUUUUCCUCACACAAGAUCAUGUCAUAACGUGUGACAUAUAUCCUAAUGUCUAGCAUGACAACAAAUUAUCUAGCCGACCUGCCACUUGAGAUGUACCGAAACCCACACCACCAUCUGACAUGAAACAUACAUGCAAGAAAACGAGGCGGGGGUUUUGGGCCUGAUGAGAGGUCAUGCAAG
rnacentral:lncRNA from 1 species